AUUUAUAUUCACUUUCAAUUUCUUUUAUGAAUAUCAUAUAAUAAUCAUAUGUUUCCGAUAUGUAUACCAGAUGAAUUUGAUUCAAGAUGACGGUAUUGAACUCGAAAGGUAUUGGGAAAUAAACAUCAGUCAACAGCAUGUAGAUCAAAGAGCAUUCUUGGUAAGAAUAUAGUAUUUGUGUUUUAAUAUUCUUGAUAUAAGUUAUAAUUGCUUAGCUUUGUAAAAUUGUAUUUUGAUUUUGUAUGUUUCCACUAUUCAGCAUUUUCCUACAAUAAUAAGUAAGGCUUUCUUAACACCGCAACAACGACGCAUUAGUAUGGUUCUUCAGAACACAAAUAUUUCCGUUGAUUGUGAAAUUCGAAUGGCCGCAAGAAAUCAACAUGAGAGGUACAUAUCUGUAGGUUUUAAUACAUUUCUAAAUGUUGCUAACAUACAACCUGGCUGAAGAUGUCGCUUCACUUUAGAGGAUCCACCUCAAGUCUUGAAUGUUGUUGUCAUGGAUCAACAACAGUAAUUGUAUUAUGUCAAAUAAACUUAUCAUGGCUAAUGUGUUGUAGUUGAUUAUUUUAUUAAGUUAAACCUUUGAUUUAAACAAUGCUAUGUAUUGGUUUAAUGUUGUUUUUUGGUUUUCAGUUAAAGUUUAAAAUAUAUAAACAAUUAUAUUUAUUGAUUUUGUUAGGGUAUUUAACAUAGGUCUAAAUAUUAUAUUAAAUAAGCUAUGUCAUUAUUCAAUCAUACCAGCUAUAGUCGCCCCGUGCAUUGCACGGGUACGUAUACUAGUUAAACAACAUUUUAUAAAUUUGAUUUUUUUUUAAUAGGCAAAAUAUUAUUGAAAGGUGAAAAUCUAUGCACAAGAUGUGCAACAGACAUCACAGGAAAUUUUACAAAAAAACAGAUGAAAAAACUGGUUUCAAUAAAGCUUAAAAAUCAGAAAAAACAACCAAAAGCAUAACAAAAGCCUCUUAAGUAGGAGAGAUAGUUGCACACAUGCACUUGGAAAAUCAAACCAAAAUACAACCCCCCCUUAUUCAGCUGCGUCCAAGUCCAAGUGAGCCAACAAGCCAUUAUAUUGAGAUAUAAUGCUACGGUGGACCAUCUUCACAAGUGAUUCACCAUGGACAAGUGAUUUACCGAAUAUGAAUUUUACGAAAUUCACUGUUGGAUUGAAAGUUUAUAUCGUAUAGAUCAUCCAUAAAUUUUUUAAAUUUUUUUGAAAAUCAUUUGAUAUGUUAUUGAGACCCAUCAAGAUUUACGUUAUUUAAUAAACUGUUAAUCUUAAUGUGUCUCAAUAACAUAUCAAAUGAUUUUCAAUUUUUCUAUGGAUGAUCUACAUGAUAUAAACUUUGAAUCCAACGGUGGAUUUUGUAAAAUUCGUAUUCGUUAUAAUGUUAUUCAUAACUAGUCCACUAUAGACCACUUGAUGAAGUGAUCAUAUUAUAAUUUACCUACAAAAUCAAUGGUUCCUUAUAAAUUUCAAUUUGAUCUCAAAAUCAAAGUAUAUAAAGCAUCAACAACAAUAUGUAGAAGCAUUUCACAGCAGGAUAAUAUGAAGUUGUGUUGAUUGUUCUGUAACUUCUACAAUUCUACUCUUCUAGGAUGCUACUGCUAGGAUGAGAGAGAGGAGAGAGAUUCUUACAUGAAUUAAUCAUUAGAUAAUUAUUUUAUUUACUUUAUGUCACUUCCUCUUUUAGCCUUGAGGAAUGUAUUUAAAAGGUGAUGAACCUCAUUUGAAAAACCAAUAAAACAUUUCAACAAAUAUCUUCUUCCCUUAAACUCUCUCAUUCAAUAUUAUGCUUGUAUAAUCUUUCUCAUUUGUAGCGAAUUCUAUUCAAAUCGUUCUCAUUUGUGUGUGUGUGUGGGAGAGAGGGGGGAGGGCGGUGAUUGCAGUUGUCACCGGUGGCGGCGUGGUGGCUGGACCUGCGUGAAAGUUCUUCAACGAAAUGACGGUGCCUUAACUGAGAAUGUCUUACGGAGAAGAACUGGAUAAUUUUUUUUUUGUUCGGUCACUUUUGUUUUAUUGGGCCUCUUAUUAAACCGGGCUUACUAUUUAAUUAUUGUUUGAUGGCUUCUCUUUAGGCUCAUCGUGAUUCUUUUUUAUCCCUCGAAAAUUCAAUUUUUUCCUUGAUAAAAAUUCGGUUCGCAAAAACCGAAAUUUUUUCUAGGAAAAAUUCAGGAAAAAUUCGGUUAACAGAAACCGAAUUUUUUUUUUCAAGGCAAAAAAAAAAAUUCAAUUAACAGAAAUUGAAGUUUUUAUNNNNNNNNNNNNNNNNNNNNNNNNNNNNNNNNNNNNNNNNNNNNNNNNNNNNNNNNNNNNNNNNNNNNNNNNNNNACAAAAAAAUUGAGGGCCUUGUUUUUUUGGAGGCCUAGAUUGUGGGCCUGGUUGCCCUAGCCCAAACCGGCCCUGGAUUAGACCAACACAUAUCACUCAUAAAAUAUUGUAGUACUAUUUUUAUGUAUCACCUUAUAAUUUCAUUAUUUCUUAUAGAUGACAUUAAUCAUGUUUGUCAUGAGACGUCAUUUGGAGACCGCACAGUUCAUUGCAAGGAGUUUUCAGGCAUUAAAUAUAGACAUGACUUUGUGAGGUAUGUCCUUUUUUAUAUUUGUGGAUUAAGACAUUAGAUUAAUGAGUCACAUCUCUUAUAAAUUCAACAUUCUUCCCAUACAUAGUCGAUGUGAGGCUUAUCCACUCUUGAAACCCAACAUUCGNNNNNNNNNNNNNNNNNNNNNNNNNNNNNNNNNNNNNNNNNNNGAUACCACUGGUAAGAUUAAAAUUUAGAGAUCGACAUAUUAUAUAAAAUCAGAACACACUUACAUGUUGAAGCAACAAUCAUGUUUACUGAAAAUAGCUGAUAUCGGAACCAAUGAUAUGUUAGACAAGGUCUUCCUUUGUCUGAUCACAUGCUCCAGGAUUUGAGGUUGGGCAAACCACAAACGAGCAUAUGGCCAGAAUGAUGGGUUAUUAUUCACAUGACGGCAAAGAGGACCUAGCCUAUCUAUUUAUAAGAAAACAACCCUAGUUAUACCACCCAUCAUGUACAUUAGAUGUUGGACCUACACUUUGUUUCUACACAAAUCAGAAUUAGUGUUCAAAUACUAUUUACUGAUCACAAUUAUCAAACUUAAGCAUCAUCAAAUGGAUCACAACAACAUCAACCUGUUUUUACUAAAACCAAAACCUACAUUUGAUUGUAGCCCACAAAAUAUUAGAAAAUAUUCUAACAUUCUCUCCCACUUGGGCAAAAUCAAUUGUAUAUAUUUAAUUUGAAGAAAACACUUUGAAAACGACUCUUGGGUUGAUAACAUAUUUUAACGUGGCCACAAUGAUCCCAAGAUGCAACAUCUAAUUAAGUGUCUUUUUAGAAUAGUAACACAAAAUUAAGAAAGUGUAUUUAUGCACGUUAUCUUCCUAUUAUACUGUAAUCUUAAUUCACUAAUAAUUUUUUUCACUCUUUCCAAUAAACUUAUUGGUAUACAAAAACUUUGUUUAGAAAAAACAAACUUUAUUAUAUAAAAAAAACUUUAGUUUUUCAAAUAUAUAAAAAAAAUUAUUGAAAAAGAUCAGAGUAAUUGACAAAAAGUAUAAUUGACAAAUCGUACCCUUAAAAUAACAAAACGACAGUUAAAUAGGAACGUUAAAUUUGACGUUAAUGGACACUAAAAAAACAAAGGGAGUAUAUGUUUAUUUUAAUAUGAGAUAAACUAUGAAUUUACGAGUUGAAUCUAUGUUUACGAGUCAAAACAAGUUUACAUAAAUACUAAAUUCUAAUAACCUUGUUCAAGACAAUUGGACUAGUUUUAAUAUAAUUUUGUUAUUUAAAAAGAAAUAAUUUACAUUUUAAUAUAUGUAUUUUAAACGUAUCGUAUCCUAUAUUUUCAAUGGUUGACGUAUCGCCGUAUCAGAUAUGUAUAACAUCUGAUACCUGAAUCUGUGCUUCAUUGUUGAACGAGAAUAUCAUAUAAUUUUUGUGAAUAUCUUCCGCACACAUCCAUAGAGAUUAAUCUAUUAAGUCGAGGUAAGGACACAAUAGGCAACAAAACUCCUUAAUUUUUUUUACUUUUAAUGAUAUUAGUACAUUCUUAGAACUAGACUCAAAUCGAACUCAAAAUCUCUGAUUUAGUUGGCAGAGACAAAGCAUUUCAUCCGAAUGCUCUUGGAUGAAUAUGAUAAAUACGCCGCAACAUUAAAACAUGCAACUUAUAUACAUUCAAAGAAAGAAAAGAAGCAUCAAAUCAAACAAUGAAUGAACUCACAUAAAAUGAAAAGGUCCAAUUUGAAUUGCAAUGUGAUGUAUUUGUUCAUGACCCUCUACAAUAGAAUCUCCCUAUAUUCCUAAAAAGCUUCUGUUUCUAGUAACCUUUGCAGUCAAAACCAAGUGAUGAGAAAAUGAAAAUGUGCAAUUUAUGGCCACUAUAUAUCACCUUAGACAGACAAAAGCUAUACCUCAAAAUCUGAAGCAUAUAGACUAAAAAUUCCAAUACCUAAGUUGUUCAAAAUACCAUCUCUCCUCCAUUGACCAAAAAAACAAACAAUCCUUUCAAAUUUCAAUCUUUUUACCUUAUAUGAUGUAUAUUCUAAAAAAUGAGAGAAAAAAAUUUCUAUUUUCCCUUCUUAGCUGGCUUCUUGGGGCUCAAUAACGAAUUCUGUGUCUGAUGUCCAAAAACAUUCCUCAAUGCAGAUUGUGAUUCAUCGUCAUCGCUAUCGAAGUCAUCAGGUGUAUGCCUGCUGUGGUAUGCUAUGCGAUGCAAGAGAUAGACAUUAAAGUAGUAGCUGACCAAAACUUCCCUGUUCUUGUUAGGAAAUGUUCGGAAAAUGUAAUCCCAGAAAUAUCUUUCAGAUGAUGGAGGGUUUGACUGUAUCACUUCCCAGAAUUUCUUCUCAUCUUCAUAGGUCCACGAACGUCGAACAUCUUCACCGACUUUAUCGAAAUCCCAGUAGUAAAAAGCCAUGCCUAACUCCAGCUUANNNNNNNNNNNNCUUGGAACUGCACAGCCACAUGAAUCUUGUCGUCCCUUUCCUAUAGGAUCCCUUUCAAUAAGAAAUCGAGGAUUAGCUGCUACUAAUGGCCAUAUUUGGGUCCCGAGCCACUUAGGAUCACUUUCCAGAAUUGNNNNNNNNNNNNNNNNNNNNNNNNNNNNNNNNNNNNNNNNNNNNNNNNNNNNNNNNNNNNNNNUCUGGCACUUCAGCUUGAUGAUUUGGCCCCACAAGGAUGCGCUUUGAUGUCGCGGAAUCAACAGCACGAGGACUUGAGGUUCUGUCCGAAUUUCCUGACGAGCUUUGAGAACCUGGUUUUUGUUUUUCAAAUGAUUGUUUCUUGUCACGUUUCACCCUCUCCCUAAGAUUGUAGGUCGUCGGAGCGGGAUCAUCAUACAUGGAAGGGUGCAUCUUCUGACUCUGCAAAAUUACACAGGGUUUUGGUGUUAAUGCAAUAUCACAAGGAAAUUUAAAAUUCUAUUUAAACAAAAAAUAAAUACUACUAUAUAAGUGACAGCAUUUAUAGAAAUUUAAGGAUUCUUGAGAACCAGCUAAUAUAAAAAAAGACCUUUAUUACCCAAAAAACAUGCAAUUACUUUUAUCCUGCAAUUCAAUAUAGAUGCUUACUACAUCAUAAUUAAUCUGCAAUUCAAUAUAUGCCUUGCCACCUUUAAUAUAAAUACAAUUUUCCUAAUAAUAAUAUAACAAAAUUUAAUUAAUAGUACGGAAAGUGGAUUAUUCGCAGAAAAAAAACAUUAUAGCAUACAUCCAAACAUUAACUAAGUAAAAACAAGGCAUUAAUAGAUUCAGAUACUAUUCAUAAAUAAGAUAAACUUCCCCAAUACUAUGACAAUAUCUCAAAAGGAAAAUUCCGCAUCCAUGAUUAAGCGAACAAAACAGCAUCUGAAUAUUUUUCAAUCAACAAACAGACCAGAGUUGCAAUAUAGUACAGAAGUAAUUCCCACAAAAAACUGAACUUUCAUCGAUAUUUAUGAUCUAUUUUCAUAAUUUUUUUCAAAUAAAGACCACUCAAUCUGAUUAGCAUUGCAUUAUACGUCAAAAUGAUAUAAAAGAAUCACAUAAUCAAAUAAUGAAGGAUAUGAAAACAGAAUUUAAGCUGGUCAUAAUUAACAUCAGUUUGCAGUAGCUAGCAGCCAAAAAGAAAGAUUCAACAAUAAGAAUGUUUCAGAAAAAAACAAUGAAGUGGUCCCACAUCAAAUUUAAUAAGCCACCAGUGGUCUACAAGACAAACAGAAUCUGUUUUGUUUAACAGUUGAAAUUAAAACUUGAGAAUAAAAAUGAAACAGAAUUCAACAGUAAGUGCAUCCAAUUAUCAUUACACAAUUUACACAUGAAAGUACAGAGAUACCUUGAGAAACAGAAUAAUUUCAUGUAGCAUGUGUGUGCACAAAUAAUAUUAAUUGCAUAGAACAAAAACAGAAUGAAAAAUGCAUAAAUUUAUAGUAAACUUUCACUUGACUUAACUUCUUUUGAGUCUACUAAAUUUCAAGCAUGCAUCAACAACAUGUGCAUUUAUUAAAGCGAUUUAAGUUUGGCUAACUAAAAUUAAUAGCAUAGUUUUGUAAGAUUACCUGCCAAUUCUGCUGUUCAAUGCUUGACUGUUUCUUGUGAAACACAGCCUCUCGAUACAGCAAAACCCGCUUCCAAGCCUCCUGAUUACUGUAAGACUUCCAUUUCGACUUUUCAGGCAACAAACCAAUUUCAGGAUCACAAGGGUUAUUCGCGGCACGGGUAACCCAAUUCAUCAAAUCACACAAAGACUCUUUCUUCCUCUUAAGACCCCCUACAUUACCACCAGACGAAUCCCCUACAUUAUCACCAUCACGAGUCUCGCCUACAUUCAACAAUCCAGACGCACCAAUCUUCACCGCACCACAUACAUCAGCCGUUGUCUCAUUAGACUUUUUCCCUCCAUCAGCCACUUCCACUCCCUGCAUUGCAUCACCAUUACCCUCACCCAACUUUCCAACAUCUUUCUCCCCACUCUUCACCUCAUUAGCACCAUCAACUCCAGCCUUAACCCCAUUUCCAGCCACGGCAAUCUCAGCCUGACCCGACAACAACUCUUUCACAUCAGCCUCAAACCCCAUCAAACCACACUCAUCAGACACCUUACCACCAUCAGAUUUCUUCAAACAUGACUCCAAAACACUCUUAUACUUACUAAAAACAAGUUUCACAGAUGAACCAACAUUCACACCUAACCCACAUUCUUCCCCAACUAAAUCCCACAACUCACCAUUGCAAACAGCUUCAAACCCACCUUUCCCCUCAACCACACUCAACAGCUUGUAUAAAUCAGGCUUCUGUCCAUCAUCAAUCAUUUGAAAACAAAAAAUAACAACCAAACACAGAAAUGAAAGUCUCAGUCUCAAAACGACACAAAAUUCUGUCGUAUAACAACACUUCAACAACAAACAAACACCACUAUCAUCUACAAUAAUCUGAAUCUCAACAUCGUAAAAUUGCUACAACCCUGUCAAUGUUUUCGAAUUCAAACCCUAGAAACAAAAAACAAAGCUUAAAAUCAUCCAUUUGUUUGGAAAAAAAAUUGAAAUUAUAAUUAACCCUUUUUUUCAAACUUUUUUUGUUACGAAUAAUCGAUGAAAAUGAGUUUAUGGGUGUGAAAUUGGCACCGAUUAAGAAUCUGGGCUUAGCUCAAAAUUGUAAAUUGGCGGGAAAAUACAAAAGGGUAAGAUCUGAUACAAGCUAGGGCUAAAUUUGAAUGAAGCUCUGUGUUUUUUGGUUGUUCUGUCACCUUUGUGUGUGGCCAAAAAAAAAACGUUUCAUUCACAUCUGGCACUUUCUUUCUCUCUCUAGAAUAUGGAAUUUAAUUGCAGAGAGAGAGAGGGGUCAAAAAUCAUGUUUUCAACAGAGACAGACCCUAAUCUUCAAAAUCUGAAAAAUUUUCAUUGGAAGUAAAAAAAAAAGAAAAUAAAAGAAAAGAGAGAAAGACAUACCAGGUUUUUUUUUAGAGAGGAAAAUAGAUGGACCCCUUUGGUGACUUGAAAUUGAAAAAUGAAAAAAUGAAAAUGAAAUUUUGUGUUGUUACUUCCUUAACCUUUUAGUUUUCCUCUCUCUCUCUCUCUCUAAAACCUAAAUUCUCUCUAAAACCUAAAUUCUUUUUUUUUUCUUUUUCUUUUUUUUACUUUCUUUUGUUUUGGUUUAUUUGGUUUGGGGGAGUUUAGAGGAGAAUAAUUUUGUUUUGAUAAAAGUAAAAGAAAAAGAAAAAGGAGAUUUACAAAUAAGGGUUUGUUUGUUGAUGAGGUGCAUGUAUGUAUGUACAAACAAUUUUUUAUAGAUUAGAUUAGGAUGGGUUAGAGAGUUGGAGGAUUCAUAUGUAUUCACUAACCUUGGUUAAUAAUUAACUAUAUGUAUGGUUGAGUUGGGGGUAUAGAUUGGUGGAUUAUUAUUAUUUUUUAUCAUUAUUAUUAUUGGGUUUGUUUUAUUUCUUUAAUAAAGUUGGUCAAUAGUGAUUGAUGUUGGACUUAAUAUGGAUGACCAUUGUUCGAUCCCCUACAAUUGCAAUAGAGAAGAUGUUGAAAUCACUUGAUACCACAACUGACCUUCAAAUUAAAUUAAGCGAUUCAGUAGACUGGUUACUGAUGGUGGAAAAAAAAUGUGGGAUAAAAUAAAAUUAAAAGAAGCUUUUAUGGGAAAAGGGAAAUCAAGGGGCAUGAGAGUUUGUCAUCAACAAAAACACAUGGAUACCCCUUUGGAUGGCUAUAAAAAAUCCCAAGAUUUAUCAUCAACUAUACCCUUUUCAACUAAGGAAAGAUACCCCAAAUUCAUUGUAAAAAUAAAAUAAAAUUGUUCAUUUGAUAAAAAAAAUUGGACGCUAUGAGUAAGUGGCUAAAAAUUAAAUCUAUGACUCUUGUUUAUGGAAAAAUUCAAAAUUUAAGUUCUUCAAUGGAGAUAAAUUACCACUAGUGAAAAUUUUGUAAAUAAAAUUAGCUAACUCACAAAAAAUACCAAAUUGAUUGCAUUGAAUAUUAUACUUGUUUGUCUCAAAUUAUUAAAAAAAAUAACUUUUACUAUAAAAAAAAUUGAUAUUCAAUAAUUUAUUUAUUUUUAAUAUUUAUAGAGAAAACAUAAAUUUGUACCAAAAAAAACCAAAAACCUUACCAAAAAAACUUUGCACCAAAAAGAAAAAGAAAACAUAAAUUAUUUUGUGAUUUUUUACCAAAAUAAAAAAAAAAAAACUUUUCGAGAAUAAUAUACUUAAAACCACUUCUCAUCUUAAAUGUGGUUUUUAGAAUUUGUUUUUCAUAAUCUAUUUUUAUUUAUAAAAUUGUAACAAUAUUUGGAAAAUUUAAUUUUGAUUAUUUUGUUUAAAAAAGUGAUUGUUAUUUUAAAAAUAAUUAUUAUAACAAGCGAGCUAAUUUUCUCAAGACUCUGUGAAAUAAAAUAUAUCGAUAAAUAGUGUUAUUUUAAAUCAUAAUAACAUAGGGGCAUUUUAUUUCUUCUUUUUUUUUGAAGUGUAUUUUAUUUCUUAAACUACUUUUUUUAAUAAGCAAUGUUAGUUGUUAGUAUUACAAUGUUAUGUAAAUUAAACUACUUUUUUCUUAAACUACUUUUAAUCGUCAUUCUAUAUUUGUAAAUUAAAUUAAUUUUUAUUUGUUUUUAUAAAUCAUUUUAAAUAUUUUUCAUAUCUUCGACAAUUUAGUAAUUAUGUGCCAUAUAUAUUCAUAUUUCACUAUAUAGAUAUUUUUUUUCAUGUGUUUUUGGAAGUAAUAUUAAAACUAUACAUAUAUUGAUAUAUGAUUGAAAGUGUAUAAAGAAAAAGUUAUACUUAAUUAUCAAAAAAGAAAAAGUUAUAUUUAUACUAUACCAAUAAAAAAACUUAUAGAGUUUAAUCUUUAUAUUAAAAUAUAAAAAAUAUUUAUGAUUGGUAAAUCAAAUAGAUUUGGUUUACAAUGAGCUGAAAAUCAAACUCAGGACUUAUAGCAUACUACCCAAAUCCCUCACCACUAGAUCAAGUGACUUUGGUAAAUCAAAUAGAUUGAUAUCAGAUAAUAAUUAAAAAAGUAGAUAUUAAAAAAAACCAAAUUAAAUUUUUGAGAGUUUUAAUGUAAAAUUAUAAUGGGUCUCUAAAACUCAUAGUUUGACCUAACAUUAGCUGCUACUAUUUGCUAGGCCCAAUAAAGAGGCAUUUACCCGGAGUUCUACUUCUCGCACCUCCGGCAUUCUACUUAGGAACUGAGUGUAUAAAUUAACAAAAUUAAAAUACCAUUGUUCGCUGGCUAUGUCGCGAGUGUAGAAAAUUACAAAAAUUGAAAAACCCCAGUUCGCAUUCUAGGAUGUGAACGGGUUCACAAAAAUAAAUUUUUUUAUCCGCUUCAUCUUAUAAGGAAGUAAUACUAUGAAUUAAGUUGUAUUAAUAUUGAGAGAUUACAUAGAAUAUUUAUAAUGAACUAAUGUAUCUUUACCAUUGUGGAUACACUUCAUAAUUAAAUUAAUAUUAAUUUUUUUUAUUCAAUACCAUUGUUGACUACCUAUGGAGUAUUUUCACACCGACAACGUAAGAUUAAUUUCCUCUGACAGAAAGAUCAAUUAAAAAUUUGCACCACACUUUUAACUCUAUGAGAGUCGAAUCUAGGAUCAUGUGGAGUCUCCAAAUCGCAAGACCAGUAAGUAGUUUGUUAAAUCGAUUUCAAAAAAAUGUGAGUUUGGGCUCGAAAUAUUUACGCUGAGCAUGAAAUUGUGAUUGUCAUUUUCACACGAGUUCAAACAUCAAGAAACAUGUUAGACAUAAGGAAACAAUAGACACACACGAGAAACUGGGGCUGAGCAUCGGUCAGGUUCGGGUCAAAAAUCGUUAAAUUGAUAAAACUGCAACCUCUUAAUUUAGACUCAAUUCUGACCGUCUACUCUUCUAUUAUUUGGGUGUUGGGUCAUUCAGUGGCAGAUAUAACAGGUCGGUUUUAACGGAUUAACUUAAAACUUUGUCAUUACAUAAAUAAUAAUUCAAAAAAUUUAUAACUCGGAAAUCAUAUUAGUUAUCACAUACAUAAAGAUUAUUACAUAACACAUUGCGUAAAAAUAAAAGAAAACAAAAACUUACAAAAUAAAUAAAUAAAUAAAUAAAAGGGUUAUCUUAUAAAAAUAACACACACAAAAUUACUAUAGACGAAUGCUGGAGAAGAUGUUUGUCAAAAAAAGGAAGCACAUACUGACUUUGUAAAUAUUUUCAAUACACAAUCAAGCUAUUUUACAUAUUUUAAUGAUUUAAUUCAUUUAAAUUUCUCUCUUUUAUCUUUUAUUUAUGCAUUUUUAAGUUUAGUAACUCAACAAUACAAAACAUCAUAUUAAUUAGCACUCUUUGAUAAAAAAAAUUAGUCAGCGUAAUUUGUUUGAAGAAAAUAAAAUGACUAUUAAUAGUUACCAAUCGAUACCUCUGCUAAUUUUUAUGUUCAGCAACAUGAACUAAUUAGACUCAUAUAAUAUUUAAAAAAAAAAAAAAACUCGACUCAUAUAUUAUAUUCUUAAGGACCAUAUUCAUAUUUUAAAUUUCUUAAGGAUUAAUUAUAUCUCAUUGUGCAUAUCAUCAUGCCAAAAUAUAAUUUUGAACAAAGACACGAUUUUUAUCCGGUCCGAAUUCAUGUUUUUAGAAUUUAAGCUAUUUGAUAAAGGAUAAUUCUUGGCUACUAAUUUAUAUUGUUUGGUACUUAUUGAUAAAAUUCAUUAAAAGAUGAAUUUUUAAAUAUAAAUUAAUAUAAAAAUAUAACAUGACAUUAAAUGUUAUUACAGAUAUUCAACAAUAUAAAUUGUGUGUUGGAGACAUGGAGUGUUUACUAUUUAUAAAAUGUGUCCAUAAGGUGGACUUGAUUAAUAUUAUCCAUGAUGGGUGUAAGGCUGAAAAUUCAAAGAAGUCAUCAGUAGGGGUGGCAAGACCAAAGAAUUUGGAUUCAAAUGUGUUUUUCGUUUUUCUUUUUUUUAUAACCAUAAUUAAUUUCCCUCAUUCAAGUUCUAACAACUGGUAUCUAGAGCCUCAAGGUUCUUGGCAUCAAAGAUUCACCAAGAUUACAACAUAGCAGUGUGUAAUUCAUCAGCUUGAAGAUGACAAGCCAACUGGAAACUCUGAGCAACAGUUUUGGAGGAAAACUUCCAAUUGUUGAUGGUUCCAACUGAGACAGAUGGAACAAGCAGAUGAAAGUCAUCUUUGGCUUUCAAGAAGUGCAAGAUGUGGUAGAAACUGGUGUGACUCCACUACCAGCAGAUGCUAAUGAGAAUCAAAGGAAUGCACACAGAAAUUCCAAGAAGAAAGACUUCAAGGCUAUGUUUUUUAUCCAUCAAUGUGUUGAUGUGAUAAACUUUUAGAAGAUUGAGAAUGCAGCAUAUGCAAAAGAGUGUUGGGAUAUUCUUGCUAAGUGUCAUGAAGGGAAUGAAAAAUUGAAGAAAGUUCGAUUGCAGACAUGGAAGAGAAAGUUUGAACUGCUUCAGAUGGAAGAUAAUGAAACCAUCACUACUUAUUUCAACAGGAUCACCAAUAUUUCAAAUCAGAUAAAAAGCUGUGGAGAAACAUUGACCGAUGAAGCUAUUGUUGAAAAGGUAAUACGAACCCUAGCUCCAAAAUUUGAUUACAUCACUGUUGCAAUCAUGGAAUCCAAAGAUAUAAGUACCAUGACAUUGGAUGAACUGCAAUGUUCUUUGGAAUCUCAUGAUCAAAGACUCAGUGAAAGACAGAAAGAUAGGGUUGCAGAUCAGGCACUGCAAGCUCAAGCAGUUAAGAAAGACAAUGGUAAGAUAAGUUCAAUAAAGAGAGCAAUCAACAAAAAACUUCAAAGAAGAACAGUGAUCAAGGAGAAUCAUCACAGAACAAUGGUUCAAAUCAAGAAAAGAAAGGUAAAGUGAAUUUGAAAAAGAUUCAAUGCUAUAAAUGUCAGAAAUAUGGUCACUUUGGAAAAGAUUUCAAUGGCAAGAAGGUUCCAAGGUAUGAAGGAAAGAAUAAAACUGAAGCACAUAUUGCUCAGGAAUAUAGUGACUCGGAGAUUAAUCCAAUGUUGCUCAUGGCAACCACUACAGAUGAUGAAAAUCAUCAUGAACAUUGGUAUCUUGACACAGGUUGCAGUAAUCACAUGACAAGCCAUAAAGACUGGCUUGUCAACUUCAACAGUUCAUCAAAAACUAAGAUAAGGUUUGCANNNNNNNNNNNNNNNNNNNNNNNAUUCCAGCUGAAGGAGUAGGUGAUGUGUUGAUCAAAGGCAAGAAACGAAAUCAAGCAAUCAUCACUGGUGUUCUAUAUGUACCAGACAUGAAAACAAAUUUACUAAGUAUGGGGCAGCUACUAGAUAAUGGAUUCAUUAUGCAUAUGGAGAAUAACAUCAUGGAAGUAUUUGAUUCUCAGAACACUAUUUUGAGAGCUCCCCCCCCUCUCUCUCUCUCUCUAUCUCUCUCUCGAAAUAGAACAUUUCAAGUUAGCAUCACUGCAAAUCAAUCCCAAUGUCUGGCUACAGUGAAGAUCAAUGACCAAGCAUGGUUAUGGCACCUAAGGUAUGGUCAUCUCAACUUUAAAAGUUUGAGUUAUCUGCAAAACAAUGAACUGGUUAAUGGAUUACCUGCAAUUAAGAUCCCUAGAGAUAUAUGUCAACAUUACUUGUUAAGCAAGCAGGCCAGAAAGUCUUUUGUCAAGGAUAUUGCAAUGAGAGCUAAGCAGUUACUUGAUGUAGUACAUACAAAUGUAUGUGGUCCAUUUGACACAUUAUCUUUAGGAGGAAACAAGUAAUUUGUAUCAUUCAUUGAUGAAUUCAGUAGAAUGAUAUGAAUUCAGUUAAUGAAGAGAAAAGAUGAAGUGUUUCAGAAAUUUAAGUCAUUCAAGCUGUUAGUUGAAAAGCAAUCAGAAAAGAGGAUUAAGAUUCUAAGAAGUGAUGAUGGUGGUGAAUACACCUCACAUGAAUUCAAAGCAUUUUGCUCAGAAAAUGGAAUUCAACAUGAAAUAAUAGCUCAAUUUGACACAUUAUCUUUAGGAGGAAACGAGUAAUUUGUAUCAUUCAUUGAUGAAUUUAGUAGAAUGAUGUGGAUUCAGUUAAUGAAGAGAAAAGAUGAAGUGUUUCAGAAAUUUAAGUCAUUCAAGCUGUUAGUUGAAAAGCAAUCAGAAAAGAGGAUUAAGAUUCUAAGAAGUGAUGAUGGUGGUGAAUACACCUCACAUGAAUUCAAAGCAUUUUACUCAGAAAAUGGAAUUCAACAUGAAAUAAUAGCUCCAUACACUCCUCAACACAAUGGAAUGACUGAAAGGAGGAAUAAAACUAUCAUGAACAUGACCAGAUGUAUGUUAAAAGAGAAGAAUCUGCCUCACAGCUUUUGGGGUGAAGCUGUAUCAACUGCAUGCUAUGUUUUGAAUAGAAGCCCAACCAAGAAGUUGCAGAAAGUACUAGAAGCAAUUUGGUCAGGGUUUUUGGAUGCUUAUGCUACAGACACAUACCAAAUCAAAGGAGGAAGAAGCUUGAUGACAAGAGUGAAACAAUGAUACUAGUAAGGUAUCACACUGCAUGUGCUUACAAAUUGUACAAUCCCAUUACAAAAAAGAUCACUGCUAGCAGGGAUGUAACAUUUGAAGAAUAUAAAUGUUGGGAUUGGAACAAUACUACAUCAGAGAAUGGAAAUUGUGUACCAUUUGAGUUGCUUGAUGAGCAAGCAACUGAAGAAGCAACCGUUCUAACACCUCCAGCUCCAAACAAUGAACCAGUGAUACUAAUUAAGGAGGACAGAAAAACCAAGUAUUCCAAAUAGAACUCUACAAGGUUAUGAAAGGGUCAGUGAUGAUAUGGUCACACCAGAUGGUGACACGGUGCAUCUGGCACUAUUUGUUGAUACUGAACCCUUGACAUAUGCUGAAGCUUCAAAACAUGAAGAGUGGAGACAAGCAAUGAAAGAAGAAAUUGCUUCAAUUGAGAAGAAUGAAAAAUGGAGUAUAACUCAAUUGCCUAUUUGUAAGAAACCAAUUGUAGUUAAAUGGAUUUACAAGCUCAAACAUUUGCCUGAUGGAACUAUAGCAAAGUAUAAAGCACGAUUGGUAGCAAAAGGAUUCCUCCAUAAGCAUGGAAUUGAUUUCACAGAAAUUUUUGCACCAGUGGUAAGAAUUGAAACUGUAAGAUUGGUGGUAGCAAUAGCUAAUCACUUGAGAUGAGGGUUUGUUCAACUUGAUGUCAAGUCUGCAUUUCUCAAUGGCAAACUUGAGGAGGAAGUAUAUGUUGAACAACCUCAAGGCUUCAGAGUUAAGGGAAAGGAGGAUCAUGUAUUGAAGCUCAAUAAAGCAUUAUAUGGCUUGAGACAGACACCUAUGAGGAUAGAUGAAUUUCUCAAUAAAAUUGGAUAUUCAAAGUGCACAAUUGAACAUGGAAUAUACGUGAAAGGCUCAACUCAGAGUAAACUCAGCAUAGUGUGUUUAUAUGUGGAUGAUUUACUGAUAACUGGCAGUGACAAAAGAGAAAUUGAAAGAUUGACAAGUCAGUUGAGCUCAGAGUUUGAAAUGACUAAUCUGGGAGGCCUAUAAUACUUCCUUGGAUUGGAAUUCACUAAAACUAAAGAGGGAAUGUUGAUUCACCAGAUAAAAUAUGUCUCAGACAUAUUGAAAAGAUUCAACAUGAUGAAUUGCAACCCAACCAACACACCAAUGAAUACUGCUUCAAGCUUAAGUAAUGAUGAUGAAGGUAGCAAUGUCAAUAGCACAUUGUAUAAGCAGAUGGUUGGAAGUUUGAGAUAUGCCUGCAAUUCAAGGCCUGAUAUUUGUCACAGUGUAGGGAUAGUCAGUAGGUUUAUGCAAACACCUAAACUAUCUUAUAUGCAAGCAAUGAAGAGAAUAUUGAGGUACUUGCAGGGCACAAUGGAGUAUGGCAUACUAUAUCCAAAUUCAAAUGGAAAGAAAGACAAGCUAAUUGGAUAUAGUGACUCUGAUUGGUCAGGUGACAAAGUAGAAAGUAAAAGUACUAUGGGAUAUGUAUUCACAGUAUUUGAUUGCCCUAUUUCACGGAGCUCUAAAAAGCAAAAUGUAGUAACACUGUCAACUUGUGAAGCUGAAUACAUAUCUGCCUGCAUUGCAGCCUGUCAAGGCAUAUGGUUGCAAUCUCUGCUGCAGGAAAUGAAAAUUGAUGUUGAAGAUGGAGUAGAGCUUAUGGUUGACAACAAAUCAGCCAUAAUCCUGGCCAAGAAUCCCAUAGCUCAUGGGAGAAGCAAACAUAUUGAAACUAAGUUUCAUUUUUUGAGAGAUCAAGUCACUAAAUGGAGGAUCAAGCUUAACUACUGCAAUACAGAGAAUCAGAUAGUUGAUGUGCUCACUAAGCCAUUGAAGAUGGACAAGUUCAAAGACAUGAGGAAAAUGCCGAAGGUAUUCAGCAUGGAGAACUUGAAUUAAGGGGGAGUAUUGAAGUAUUAAUUCAAGUUUAGAAGUUAGUUAGUUACUUGUGUUGUAAGUAACUACCUUGUGAGUUAGUUAGAUGACUCAUGGUUAUAGUAACCAUAGUUAGUUAAAUUGAAUGUGUAUAUAAGCACAUUAGUCAUUGUAAUUUCAACACAACCUUGAUCAAUAAUAAUUCUCCCUUUACUCUCUCAAUUUCCAUCAUUCAUGUCAUAGUUAAUUUCCCUCAUUCUCUCAUUCAAGUUCUAACAGUAAGUUCUUCUAAUACUUCUUUGAUCAUGUCAUGAUGAUAUUAUCGAAGUAGGGGAGGAUUAUGUGUGAAAGUUUGGUGAAGAGGUUUGAAUUUAAUUUAAGGAGGCUAAAAAACUAAUUGAGCAUGUAUUAAUUUAUAUUUCGUCAAAGAAAUGUAUAAAUUUAUAUGAAGAUAGAUAAAUUGAAUAUUAUUAAAAAGGGUUACCUAGACUCCUAGAGUCUACUUCUAUAAGAUAUUGUAUGUUGGGAUUUUACUUUGUGGGUUGGGAGGUGGUUAACAAUUAGAGAUCUUCAUUUCUCACCCUAUCCUAUGAAUUUAUCAAAAUAACUUCGUCCGUUACUUAAGUAGCAGAUAUUUCUCAAAAAAACCAUAUUUUUAUAAUGUCCGCUACUUAAGUAACAGAAGGGUAUAACAAAAGAGGCGUAAAGCACGCGAUAAAGCAAUAGGAUGACAAAAGUAAAUCUCUAACAGUUAUAAUGUUAAAUGUUUGGGUUGUGUGCGGAAAUAAAAUGGAUUUUAGUUUUUUUUUUUGGUUAGUGUCUAUGCACUUUGUGAUAUUUAGAAGAAAAUAUUGGAAUUAGAUUUGGGAUUACUAAGUGUGUUUAUGGUGAUUUUAAUUCGAUUAGAUAACAAGGGGGUGACGAUAUUAUUUCUUUGGAUAAUAUGAUUGAGGACUAUGAGUUGGCGAACCAGCUUGUGAAUUCGAGAUCUCAUAUGUGGAUUAAACUCGAUAAAUCUACUAAUAUGCUAUGAGUACAUCUGACUUCUUUUCUUGUUUUGGACUGGGUCUAGAGCUGGCCCAAAUCCGCUCCUACUCGGACAACCCAGUAAAAUGAGCCGUCCUCGUCCACGCCAUCAUCGCAUAUUGUCCACGUGUUCGCUGCCACUUGAAUACGAGUUCCCUUGAGCUUACCGGUUACCCCUGAUAUAUGGGACAGCUCAAUCCAGGAUGAGGACCAAAUAACAGUCUCUUCCUCCAUCUACAAAGAUUCCUGACAGUCACUCUUGAUGGGCUGCCCAACACAGCACAUUAAGGUGACUUUCGGCCCACGUUGGGGGCAUUAUAAAAGCUCUUCUUCACAGGAGAGCUCUAACUUUCGCUUAAACUUGUAUCUCUUGUGCUCUCACGGACUUAAGUAUCGGAGUGCCUUCAGGUACAAACCCCCCCUCCGGUGGAUUGAUCGCUGCUCAACGACGGUUCUCUGACCAUCAACCUACUCUGAUCAAUAGUUAAGAUUAUUUCUUAUUUCUGAAAGUUGGUGUAAUAUUUUGCCUAGCUAUUCUCAAUGGAAAUUGGAUAGAGGUUUAUCUAAUUAUUGUCCUAUUUCGCUAAGCGAUGAUAUGGACAAUUGGAUGCAAAACCAUUUAAAAUGCUCGAGUGGUUUUGUACUCAAAGAAGAGUGUGGAGGAAUGACAUCAAUUGGACUAAGAAAAUUAAAUUUUUGAAGAGUCUUUGCAUAGGUUGGAAAUAUUAUCUGUAUUAAAAUUUAAAGAAUUCGGCUAAAUUAUUUUUGGUGAGAAGUUAAAUAAGCAGUGUGUUCAACAACGGUGAGAAGUUGAUUUUGGUACUUUUAAUAUUUUAUUAAUAAAUAAAUGGUGUUGGAGGUUAAGAGUGUAUAAGAGUUUACGGUUUAAGGUGUUAUAUAUAUCAUCAAUAUGGUUUUAUUAAUAAAUAAAUGGUGUUGGAGGUCAAACCGUGGUAUUUCCUACUAAAUUGAAUUCAGUGUCAAUUACCACUGAAUCAACUAACAAUUGGUGUCGCGAGAUUGAUUUGUUCAAAAGUAAUUUAACGUGUUAGGUGGAGGUGUAUUGUGUAAGAGAUUUAAUACAUUGUUUGGUUUGGCUAUUCUUAAGGAGAUGUCUGUUGUUGAUGUGUUUAUUUUCUCUAUAAAUUAAUACCAAUAUACUUAUACUACACAACAAUAAACAACAUCAUUUCAAAGAACUCAUUCAUUUCUCAUACUAUAUAUCUUUUCUCUAAAAUGAAGAAAGACUAGAAUAUAAGAAAAUACUAUAUAGUUAAUAUUCGUACCAGAGGAAGAGCUGCCCCUUGCAUAUUCUUAGCUUCUGUAUCAGACAUUAAUCCUUUUCCUAUUUCAUAAAACAAUAACAUUAUUAUAUUACGUAAUUAAUAUUAAAAGGGAAAAAAAUAUUAUAAAAAACAGCUUCAAAAGAUCAAUAAUUUUUUUCAAUUGUUUUUUUUCACGACCGACUCACUAGACCACCUAAUCUGAUUUAGGGGUCAGUUCUGACUUCAGUAGUUUAGUUUGGUGCCAACAUGUGUUGGCAAAAUAGCACCUAGUUGUGUGUUCAUAUUUAAAUCGGUACAAACAAAAACCUCAAAUCAAUCCCAAUAAAAAAAAAAUUACUUUUUUGGGUUUUUUUUCUUAUAAAACUAUUAUAUUUCAAAUGCAUUUUUAAAACCAAACCACAAAUACAAAGUUUAUUACUUAUUUUUUUAAAACAUUAGUAUGGGAUAAUAUAUUAAUAUAUUAUUCAAUUAUUUUUAAAAAUUAAUAAUAUAUUUUAGUUUUUUAAAAAAAUAAUAUUUUAUAGUUAUCACCGAAGUAAAACAGAAGUGACUGAUGUCCCUAUAUAAUAGAAGGGAAAAAUAGUAUCUUUCUUUUUGUAAAAAAUAUAAAAAAUGGUCAAGUAAAUUGGGAUUUGUUGUUGAUGUACCUAUUUCCACUGAUUCCCAUCGGAUGUCCUUGUUUAUCCCCUAAUUAUGCAGACCUUCGAUUUUACUAAGCCAUCUAAAUUGGUGCUACCCCCGAUCAACAAUCCGAAUUUUAAAACAUUGGUAACAACAGUCUUAUCUACGUCCCUGACUCUGAAAUUUGGGGAAAACUCAAAUCCGCACUCAUCAAAGUGGGUUUUCCGCACCAAAAUUAGAGGGAUUCGAAUGAGUACAUGCAUGUGAAUGCAGGUCCUCUUGUCAUGCCUACUUUCUAGAGAGAUAUCAUAACAUCCAUAAAUUAAUUCAUUGAAUAAAUUUCCUUAAAGAAAAUUAUGAUGUCCAGUUUUAAUUGGCAAAAUUCUCCACACAACAAUUUCCGAUACUAAUAGUGAUAUUUUUCACAAAUAAUAUUGAUUUUCUUAAUUUGAUUAUUAUCAUAUAUAUACCAAUGCAGCCAAAUAUACAUACCUUUGUCAGAUCUAUGAUAUGGGUCUUCUGGAGAUCCUCACAACAGUCAAUAGCAAUAUUCAGCUGACAGAGAUAUAGAGUGAUUUGAAAAUUUUCAAAAAUUAAUGUAGAAUAAUGAAAAAGAAUAUUGAAUCGAAGAAAUACUAAUAAAUCAACUAAGACAUUAGACUCAAGUUUACUGUAAAAAAAAAAAAAAACAUUAUACUCAAGUGAUUAAUUAGCUCCACCAAAGAAUGGAUCGUUCGGAAAAAUUCGAGUUCAAUUCAUUGGUGGAACAAUGUUUUGCCAUACUUUACUUACCUCACGGCCAAACUCCAGAUUAAUAGGGUUCCCUUCCUCAAGAUUCAGAGAUUUAAUGCAAGAAAAUCCUAAUAAAUCUAUUUUGAAGCAACAAAUACAAAGUUCUAACUUUAUACCCACAAUGGGUUGUUGAAUAGUGCCGGAGAUUGUCACUUUCUUCAAAAAAAAAAAUUUGGUAUAUAUAUAUAUAUAUAUAUACACGGAAAUAAAAUAAGGAUUUGGAUUUAAUAAAGCACGAACCAAAAGAGGGGGAGCAGAACCAUAAUUUACGCAAUAAAAAAAAGGAAAAGUCCACAACAUUAAUACAAUAAUAAAGGUUUCUCUGAACGUCUCACACGUCGAAGCAUUGGGAUUAGUAUGAUUUGGCUUUAAAAAAUAAAAACCUCAAAUCAAUCUCAAUAAAAAAAAACUUUUUUUUUACAUUUUUGGGUUUUUAUUUUUUAUAAAACUAUUAGAUUUCAAAUUCAUUUUUAAUACCAAAGUAUAUUACUUAUUUCUUUAAAAUAUUAUUAUAGGAUAAUAUAUUAUUCAAUUAUUUUUAAAUAUUAAUAAUAUAUUUUAGUUUAAAAAAAAAAGUUUAAAGUUAUCACCGAAGUAAAAUAGAAGUGAGUGAUGUCCCAAUAUAAUAGAAGGGAAAAAAUAGUAUCUUUCUUGUUGUAAAAAAAAUAAAAAAAUGGUCAGGUAAAUUGGGAUUUGUUACAGAUUUACCUAUUUCCACCGAUUCCAUUCGGAUGUCCUUGUUUAUCCCCUAAUUAUGCAGACCUUCGAUUUUACUAAGCCAACUAAAUUGGUGCUAGGCCCGAUCAACAAUUCGACUUUUAAAACAUUGGUAACAACAGUCUUAUCUACGUCACUGACUCUGAAAUUUAUGGAAAACUCAAAUCUGCACUCGUCAAAGCGAGUUUUCCGCACCAAAAUUAGGGGGAUUCGAAUGAGUACAUGCAUGUGAAUGCGGGUCCUCUUGUCAUGCCUACUUUCUAGAGAGAUAUCAUAACAUCCAUAAAUUAGUUCAUUGAAUAAAUUUCCAUAAAAAAAAUAAUGAUGUCCAGUUUAAUGGUCGAAAUUCCCCACACAACAAUUUUCGAUACUAAUAUUGAAUUUUUUUCAAAAAUAAUAUUGAUUUUAUUAAUUUGACUAUUAUAAUAUAUAUACAAAUACAUCCAAAUAUACAUACCUUUGCCAGAUCUAUGAUAUGGGUCUUCUGAAGAUCCUCACAACGGUCAAUAGCAAUAUUCAGCUAACAGAGAUCUAGAAUGAUUUGAAAAUUUUCAAAAAUUAAUGUAGAAUAAUGAAAAAGAAUAUUGAAUCGAAAAAAUACUAAUAAAUCAACUAAGACAUUAGACUAAAGUUUACUGUAAAAAAAAAAAUAAUUAUACUCAAGUGAUUAAUUAGCUCCACCAAAGAAUGGAUCGUUCGGAAAAAUUCGAGUUCAAUUCAUUGGUGGAACAAUGUUUUGCCAUACUUUACUUACCUCGCGGCCAAACUUCAGAUUAAUAGGGUUCCCUUCCUCAAGAUUCAGAGAUUUAAUGCAAGAAAAUCCUAAUAAAUCUAUUUUGAAGCAACAAAUACAAAAUUCUAACUUUAUACCCACACUAGGUUGUUGAAUAGUGCCGGAGAUUGUCACUUGUUUCAAUCUUAAAUUACAGUGUAUAUAUAUACACGGAAAUAAAAUAAGGAUUUGGUUUUAAUAAAGCACGGACAAAAAGAGGGGGGAGCAGAACCAUAAUUUACGCAAUAAAAAAAAGGGAAAAAUCCACAACAUUAAUACAAUAAUAAAGGUUUCUCUGAACGUUUCACAAGUCGAAGCAUUGGGAUUAGGAUGAUUUGGCUUUACAAAAUAAAAACCUCAAAUCAAACCCAAAAAAAAAAAACUUUUUUUUUUUUUUUACAUUUUUGGGUUUUUUAUUUUAUAAAACUAUUAGAUUUCAAAUUCAUUUUUAAUACCAAAGUUUAUUACUUAUUUCUUUAAAAUAUUAUUAUGCGAUAAUAUAAUAUUCAAUUAUUUUUAAAUAUUAAUAAUAUAUUUUAGUUUAAACAAAAAAGUUUAAAGUUAUCACCGAAGUAAAAUAGAAGUGAGUGAUGUCCCAAUAUAAUAGAAGGGAAAAAAUAGUAUCUUUCUUGUUGUAAAAAAAAAUAAAAAAAUGGUCAGGUAAAUAGGAAUUUGUUACAUAUUUACCUAUUUCCACCGAUUCCCUUCGGAUGUCCUUGUUUAUCCCCUAAUUAUACAGGCCUUCGAUGUUACUAAGCCAUCUAAAUUGGUGUUAGGCCCGAUCGACAAUUCGACUUUUACAACAUUGGUAACAACAGUCUUAUCUACGUCCCUGACUCUGAAAUUUAUGGAAAACUCAAAUCUGCACUCGUCAAAGCGAUUUUUCCGCACCAAAAUUAGGGGGAUUCGAAUGAGUACAUGCAUGUGAAUGCAGGUCCUCUUGUCAUGCCUACUUUCUUGAGAUAUAUCAUAACAUCCAUAAAUUAGUUCAUUGAAUAAAUUUCCUUAAAAGAAAAUUAUGAUGUCCAGUUUUAAUGGGCAAAAUUCUCCACACAACAAUUUUCGAUACUAAUAUUGAUAUUUUUCACNNNNNNNNNNNNNGUUUAAAUAAAGCACGGACAAAAAGAGGGGGAGCAGAACCAUAAUUUACGCAAUAAAAAAAGGGAAAAGUCCACAACAUUAAUACAAUAAUAAAGGUUUCUCUGAACGUUUCACAAGUCGAAGCAUUGGGAUUAGGAUGAUUUGGCUUUAAAAAAUAAAAACCCCAAAUCAAUCCCAAUAAAAAAACCUUUUUUUUUUUUUUUACAUUUUUGGGUUUUUUGUAAAACUAUUAGAUUUCAAAUGCAUUUUUAAAACCAAAGUUUAUUACUUAUUUCUUAAAAAUAUUGGUAUGGGAUAAUAUAUUAAUAUAUUAUUCAAUUAUUUUUAACUAUUAGUAAUAUAUUUUAGUUUUUAAAAAAAAUAGUAUUUUAUAGUUAUCACCGAAGUAAAAUAGAAGUGACUGAUGUCUCUAUAUAAUAGAAGGGAAAAAAUAGCAUCUUUCUUUUUGUAAAAAAAAAAAUAAAAAAUGGCCAGGUAAAUUGGGAUUUGUUACUCAUUUACCUAUUUUUACUUAUUCCCAUCGGAUGUCCUUGUUUAUCCCCUAAUUAUGUAGACCUUCGAUUUUACUAAGCCAUCUAAAUUGGUGCUAGGCCCGAUCGACAAUUUGACUUCUAAAACAUUGGUAACAACAGUCUUAUCUACGUCCCUAACUCUGAAAUUUGGGGAAAACUCAAAUCCGCACUCGUCAAAGCGGGUUUUCCGCAACAAAAUUAGGGGGAUUCGAAUGAGUACAUGCAUGUGAAUGCAGGUCCUCUUGUCAUGCCUACUUUCUAGAGAUAUAUCAUAACAUCCGUAAAUUAGUUGAUUGAAUAUAUUUCCUUAAAGAAAAUAUGAUGUCCAGUUUUAAUGGGCAAAAUUCUCCAUACAACAUUUUUCGAUACUAAUUGAUAUUUUUCACAAAUAAAUAUUGAUUUUCUUAAUUUGAUUAUUGUCAUAUAUAUACCAUUGCAUCCAAAUAUACAUACCUUUGUCAGAUCUAUGAUAUGAGUCUUCUGGAGAUCCACACAAUAGUCAAUAGCAAUAUUCAGCUGACAGAUAUCUAGAGUGAUUUGAAAAUUGUCAAAAAUUAAUGUAGAAUAAUGAAAAACAAUAUUGAAUCGAAAAAAUACUAAUAAAUCAACUAAGACAUUAGACUCAAGUUUACUGUAAAAAAAAAACAUUAUACUCAAGUGAUUAAUUAGCUCCACCAAAGAAUGGAUUGUUCGGAAAAAUUCGAGUUCAAUUCAUUGGUGGAACAAUGUUUUGCCAUACUUUACUUACCUCGCGGCCAAACUCCAGAUUAAUAGGGUUCCCUUCCUCAAGAUUCAGAGAUUUAAUGCAAGAAAAUCCUAAUAAAUCUAUUUUGAAGUAACAAAUACAAAAUUCUAACUUUAUACCCACACUAGGUUGUUGAAUAAUGCCGGAGAUUGUCACUUGUUUCAAUCUUAAAUUACAGUGUAUAUAUAUACACGGAAAUAAAAUAAGGAUUUGGUUUUAAUAAAGCACGGACAAAAAGAGGGGGGAGCAGAACCAUAAUUUACGCAAUAAAAAAAGGGAAAAGUCCACAACAUUAAUACAAUAAUAAAGGUUUCUCUGAACGUUUCACAAGUCGAAGCAUUGAGAUUAGGAUGAUUUGGUUUUACAAAAUAAAAACCUCAAAUCAAUCCCAAUAAAAAAAAACUUUUUUUUUUUUACAUUUUUGGGUUUUUUAUUUUAUAAAACUAUUAGAUUUCAAAUUCAUUUUUAAUACCAAAGUUUAUUACUUAUUUCUUUAAAAUAUUAUUAUGGGAUAAUAUAUUAUUCAAUUAUUUUUAAAUAUUAAUAAUAUAUUUUAGUUUAAACAAAAAAGUUUAAAGUUAUCACCGAAGUAAAAUAGAAGUGAGUGAUGUCCCAAUAUAAUAGAAGGGAAAAAAUAGUAUCUUUCUUGUUGUAAAAAAAAUAAAAAAAUGGUCAGGUAAAUAGGAAUUUGUUACAUAUUUACCUAUUUCCACCGAUUCCCUUCGGAUGUCCUUGUUUAUCCCCUAAUUAUACAGACCUUCGAUGUUACUAAGCCAUCUAAAUUGGUGUUAGGCCCGAUCAACAAUUCGACUUUUACAACAUUGGUAACAACACUCUUAUCUACGUCCCUGACUCUGAAAUUUAUGGAAAACUCAAAUCUGCACUCGUCAAAGCGAGUUUUCCGCACCAAAAUUAGGGGGAUUCGAAUGAGUACAUGCAUGUGAAUGCAUGUCCUCUUGUCAUGCCUACUUUUUUGAGAUAUAUCAUAACAUCCAUAAAUUAGUUCAUUGAAUAAAUUUCCUUAAAAGAAAAUUAUGAUGUCCAGUUUUAAUGGGCAAAAUUCUCCACACAACAAUUUUCGAUACUAAUAUUGAUAUUUUUCACAAAUAAUAUUGAUUUUCUUAACUUUAUACCCACACUAGGUUGUUGAAUAGUGUCGGAGAUUGUCACUUGUUUCAAUCUUAAAUUACAGUGUAUAUAUAUACACGGAAAUAAAAUAAGGAUUUGGUUUUAAUAAAGCACGGACAAAAAGAGGGGGAGCAGAACUAUAAUUUACGCAAUAAAAAAAGGGAAAAGUCCACAACAUUAAUACAAUAAUAAAGGUUUCUCUGAACGUUUCACAAGUCGAAGCAUUGGGAUUAGGAUGAUUUGGCUUUAAAAAUAAAAACCCCAAAUCAAUCCCAAUAAAAAAAAACUGUUUUUUUUUUUUUACGUUUUUGGGUUUUUUUAUAAAACUAUUAGAUUUCAAAUGCAUUUUUAAAACCAAAGUUUAUUACUUAUUUCUUAAAAAUAUUAGUAUGGGAUAAUAUAUUAAUAUAUUAUUCAAUUAUUUNNNNNNNNNNNNNNNNNNNNNNNNNNNNNNNNNNNNNNNNNNNNNNNNNNNNNNNNNNNNNNNNNNNNNNNNNNNNCACUUAUUCCCAUCGGAUGUCCUUGUUUAUCCCCUAAUUAUGUAGACCUUCGAUUUUACUAAGCCAUCUAAAUUGGUGCUAGGCCCGAUCGACAAUUCGACUUUUAAAACAUUGGUAACAACAGUCUUAUCUACGUCCCUAACUCUGAAAUUUGGGGAAAACUCAAAUCCGCACUCGUCAAAGCGGGUUUUCCGCAACAAAAUUAGGGGGAUUCGAAUAGUACAUGCAUGUGAAUGCAGAUCCUCUUGUCAUGCCUACUUUCUAGAGAUAUAUCAUAACAUCCAUAAAUUAGUUGAUUGAAUAAAUUUCCUUAAAGAAAAUAUGAUGUCCAAUUUUAAUGGGCAAAAUUCUCCACGCAACAUUUUUCGAUACUAAUUGAUAUUUUUCACAAAUAAUAUUGAUUUUCUUAAUUUGAUUAUUAUCAUAUAUAUAUACCAUUGCAUCCAAAUAUACAUACCUUUGUCAGAUCUAUGAUAUGAGUCUUCUGGAGAUCCACACAACAGUCAAUAGCAAUAUUCAGCUGACAGAGAUCUAGAGUGAUUUGAAAAUUUUCAAAAAUUAUGGUGUCCAGUUUUAAUCGGCGAAAUUCCCCACACAACAAUUUUCGAUACUAAUAUUCAAUUUUUUUCACAAAUAAUAUUGAUUUUAUUAAUUUGAUUAUUAUCAUAUAUAUAUACCAAUACGUCCAAAUAUACAUACCUUUGCCAGAUCUAUGAUAUGGGUCUUCUUAAGAUCCUCACAACGGUCAAUAGCAAUAUUCAGCUGACAGAGUUCUAGAGUGAUUUGAAAAUUUUCAAAAAUUAAUGUAGAAUAAUGAAAAAGAAUAUUGAAUCGAAAAAAUACUAAUAAAUCAACUAAGGCAUUAGACUCAAGUUUACUGUAAAAAAACAAAGAAACAUUAUACUCAAGUGAUUAAUUAGCUCCACCAAAGAAUGGAUUGUUCGGAAAAAUUCGAGUUCAAUUCAUUGGUGGAACAAUGUUUUGCCAUACUUUACUUACCUCACGGCCAAACUCCAAAUCAAUAGAGUUCCCUUCCUCAAGAUUCAGAGAUUGAAUGCAAGAAAAUCCUAAUAAAUCUAUUUUGAAGCAACAAAUACAAAGUUCUAACUUUAUACCCACACUAGGUUGUUGAAUAGUGCCGGAGAUUGUCACUUUUUUCAAUUUUUUUUUGGUAUAUAUAUAUACACGGAAAUAAAAUAAGGAUUUGGUUUUAAUAAAGCACGGACAAAAAGAGGGGGAGCAGAACCAUAAUUUACGCAAUAAAAAAAGGGAAAAGUCCACAACAUCAAUACAAUAAUAAAGGUUUCUCUGAACGUUUCACACGUCGAAACAUUGGGAUUAGGAUGAUUUGGCUUUAAAAAAUAAAAACCUCAAAUCAAUCCCAAUAAAAAAAAAACUUUUUUUUACAUUUUUGGGUUUUUUUUUUAUAAAACUAUUAGAUUUCAAAUUCAUUUUUAAUACCAAAGUUUAUUACUUAUUUCUUUAAAAUAUUAUUAUGGGAUUAUUCAAUUAUUUUUAAAUAUUAAUAAUAUAUUUUAGUUUUUUUAAAAAAAAAGUUUAAAGUUAUCACCGAAGUGAAAUAGAAGUGACUGAUGUCCCAAUAUAAUAGAAGGAAAAAAAUAGUAUCUUUCUUUUUGUAAAAAAAAUAAAAAAAUGGUCAGGUAAAUUGGGAUUUGUUACAGAUUUACCUAUUUCCACCGAUUCCCUUCGGAUGUUUCUUGUUUAUCCCCUAAUUAUGCAGACCUUCGAUUUUACUAAGCCAUCUAAAUUGGUGCUAGGCCCGAUCGACAAUUCGACUUUUAAAACAUUGGUAACAACAGUCAUAUCAACGUCCUUGACUCUGAAAUUUAUGGAAAACUCAAAUUUGCACUCGUCAAUACAAGUUUUCCGCACCAAAGUUAGGGGGAUUCGAAUGAGUACAUGCAUGUGAAUGCAGGUCCUCUUGUCAUGCCUACUUUCUAGAGAGAUAUCAUAACAUCCAUAAAUUAGUUCAUUGAAUAAAUUUCCUUAAAGAAAAUUAUGAUGUCCAGUUUAAUGGUCGAAAUUCCCCACACAAUAAUUUUUGAUACUAAUAUUGAAUUUUUUUCACAAACAAUAUUGAUUUUAUUAAUUUGACUAUUAUAAUAUAUAUACCCAGUUGGGUCUAAAUUAGCAAAGUGCACCUUUUCAGUUGGACCAAAAUACCCAUUCUUUUUAAUUAAUUAACCAAAUUACCAUCAAUGGACGCGGAUCCAGUGUCGCGCNNNNNNNNNNNNNNNNNNNNNNNNNNNNNNNNNNNNNUUACAGGCCGUUGAUUUCCAUCAGACAGCUGUUGGAACAAAAUUGAUUUAAAAAUGUUAGCCCCUAAAUCUAUAAAGGUUUUGAUGAUAACAAAGUAUUAAUAAACAAUUGGAAGGACUAAAAAUUUAUUUUAAGUGUGCAGAUAUAAGCAUCAGAUAANNNNNNNNNNNNNNNNNNNNNNNNNNNNNNNNNNNNNAUAAGGAAAGUCCACUCUGCAGUAGUCAAAGUACCUGAAACUCUUUCUUAGUUUUGGAUACAACCAAACUGCAUCAAGACAGACUGCUUGAAGACAAAAGAUUAUCAACUCCAACGGUUCUUUUUACAACGUCUCUUUUCUAGUGGUAUAUAUACUAGAAGAAUCAGCUACAAAAUAUAUAACAUUAUCAAGAAUUGAACGUGCGCUGAACAAACUCUGAACUCUGUGAUAUACAAGCUCUGAACCUCUGUUAAGUGUUUUUGCACUUUAGUCAAAUACUCUGUACUCUUUGUAUUUGCUCUCUUUAGGUUCAUCUAAAGAGCAUUUGUAUAUUUUCAUAUACCUUUUCUAUUACUUGAGAAAACUUAAGCUUGUGUGCUUAAGUGUGAAGUCUUAAGCUUGUGUGCUUGAGCAUUGUUGAGAAGUCUCUUGCUUGUGUGCUUGAGCAGGUGUAAUCUUNNNNNNNNNNNNNNNNNNNNNNNNNNNNNNNNNNNNNNNNNNNNNNNNNNNNNNNNNNNNNNNNNNNNNNNNNNNNNNNNNNNNNNNNNNNNNNNNNNNNNNNNNNNNNNNNNNNNNNNNNNNNNNNNNNNNNNNNNNNNGUCUAUUAAUGGGUAUUUUGGUUAAUUAAUUAAAAAGAAUGGGUAUUUUGGUCCAAUUGAAAAGGUGCACCUUGCUAACUUAGACCUAACUAGGGUCUAAGUUAGAAAACCCCUAUAUAUAUAUAUAUAUCAAUGCAUCCAAAUAUACAUACCUUUGUCAGAUCUAUGAUAUGGGUCUUCUGGAGAUCCUCACAACGGUCAAUAGCAAUAUUCAGCUGACAAAGAUCUANNNNNNNNNNNNNNNNNNNNNNNNNNNNNNNNGAGUGAUUUGAAAAUUUUCUAAAAUUAAUGUAGAAUAAUGAAAAAGAAUAUUGAAUCGAAAAAAUGCUAAUAAAUCAACUGAGACAUUAGACUCAAGUUUACUAUAAAAAUAAAAUAAAACAAUAGACUCAAGUGAUUAAUUAGCUCCACCAAAGAAUGGAUCGUUCGAAAAAAUUCGAGUUCAAUUCAUUGGUGGAACAAUGUUUUGCCAUACUUUACAUACCUCACGGCCAAACUCCAGAUUAAUAGGGUUCCCUUCCUCAAGAUUCAGAGGUUUAAUGCAAGAAAUCCUAAUAAAUCUAUUUUGAUGCAAUAAAUACAAAGUUCUAACUUUAUACCCACACAAUGAUCUAUGAGUUACCGGAAUAUAUAUAUAUAUACACACACACACAGAAAUAAAAUAAGGAUUUAGUUUUAAUAAAGCACGGACAAAAAAAGGGGAGCUACCAAUCGUCAGUUAGUUUAGUGGUGAUUGACGAUGAACUUGUUAGGGAGGACCCCGGUUCGAUCCCCCGCAACUGUGAUCGGGAGAGGGCUCGAACCACUUGUGUCAGAACUGACCACCGAACCAGAUUUAACUGGUGGUGGAAAACCAAAAAAAAAAAGGAGCUAAACCAUAAUUUACGCAAUAAAGAAAGGUAAAAAGUCCACAACAUUAAUACAAUAAUAAAGGUUUCUCUGAACGUUUCACUCGUCGAAGCAUUGUGAUUAGGAUGAUUUUGCUUUAAUAAAUAAAAACCUCAAAUCAAUCCCAAUAAAAAAAAUAAACUUUUUUUUUUACAUUUUUGGGGUUUUUUUUUUUAUAAAACUAUUAGAUUUCAAAUGCAUUUUUAAAACCAAAGUUUAUUACUUAUUUCUUUAAAAUAUUAUUAUGGGAUAAUAUAUUAUUUAAUUAUUUUUAAAUAUUAUUAACGCAUUUUAGUUUUUUUUAAAAAAUAAUAUUUUAUAGUUAUCACCGAAGUAAAAUAGAAGUGACCGAUGUCCCUAUAUAAUAGAAGGGAAAAAAUAGUAUCUUUCUUUUUGNNNNNNNNNNNNNNNNNNNNNNNNNNNNNNNNNNNNNNNNNNNNNNNNNNNNNNNNGAUUUGUUACUGAUUUACCUAUUUCCACCGAUUCCCAUUGGAUGUCCUUGUUUAUCCCCUAAUUAUGCAGACCUUCGAUUUUACUAAGCCAUCUAAAUUGGUGCUAGGCCCGAUCGACAAUUCGACUUUUAAAACAUUGGUAACAAUAGUCUUAUCUACGUCGCUGACUCUUAAAUUUGGGGAAAACUCAAAUCUGUACUCGUCAAACCGAGUUUUCCGCACCAAAAUUAGGGGGUUUCGAAUGAGUACAUGCAUGUGAAUGCAGGUCCUCUUGUCAUGCCUACUUUAUAGAAAGAUAUCAUAAGAUCCUUAAAUUUGUUGAUUGAAUAAAUUUCCUUAAAUAAAAUUAUGAUGUCCAAUUUUAAUGGGCGAAAUUUCCCACACAACAAUUUUUGAUAUUAAUAUUGAAUUUUUUUCACAAAUAAUAUUUAUUUGAUUAUUAUCAUAUACAUACAAAUGCAUCCAAAUAUACAUACCUUUGUCAGAUCUAUGAUAUGGGUCUUCUGGAGAUCCUCACAAUGGUCAAUAACAAUAUUCAGCAAACAGAAAUCUAGAGUGAUUUGAAAAUUUUCAAAAAUUAAUGUAGAAUAAUGAAAAAGUAUAUUGAAUUGAAAAAAUGCUAGUUAAUCAACUAAGACAUUAGAAUCAAGUGAUUAGUUAGCUCCACCAAAGAAUGGAUCGUUCGGAAGAAUCUGAGUUCAAUUCAUGGGUGGAACAAUUUCUUGUCAUACUUUACUUACCUCACGGCCAAACUCCAGAUUAAUAGUUUCCUUCCUCAAGAAUGAGAGAGUUGAUGCAAAAAAAUCCUAAUAAAUCUAUUUUGAAACAACAAAUACAAAGUUCUAACCUUAUUCCCACACUAGGUUGUUCAAUAGAGCCGGAGAUUGUCACUUUUUUCAUUCUUAAAUUACAAUGAUCUAUGAGUUACUGGAAUUUAUCCAAGUGUGCUUAUAUAUAUAUACAAAAAUAAAUUAUGGAUUUGGUUUUAAUAUAGCAGUGACAGAAAAAGGGGGAGUGGAACCAUAAUUUACGCAAUAUAGAAAGGUAAAAAGUCCACAACAUUAAUACAAUAAUAAAGGUUUUUAUGAACAUUUCACUCGUCGAAGCAUCGGGAUUAGGGUGUAUUUUUUAAAACAACAGAUAUAAAAUUCUAACCUUGUACCCACACUAGGUUGUACAAUGAUCUACGAGUUACUAAAAUUUAUGUAUAAUGCUUAUCUAAUCUAUAUAAGACAGUUGAUUGUUCUGGAAAACUCUCAAUUGCCCUUACUUAAGAUGCUGCCAUGUGUCCAAAGUAAGAGCAAUUGGUGUCCAAAAAUUUGGUAACUAAACUAAAAGUACAUAACUAACCAAACCAUCUAAGCCAUAUGACAUUUUGUGAGUGAAAAGAAAAAUAAUCAUUAAGAUUGGACCAAUCCAUCUAAGCCAACCAUAUGAAAAUGACACUUCAAGUUACAAAUGAACCAUAUGACAUGUGACAUUACUGAUAUUGACUAUUUUAACUUCUUCCAAUUUCGGUUCCCAAAGUAUGACACCAAAUUUCUAAUUCAAUUUUUUUUCCCUCUCUUCACUUAUUCAAAACUAUAUUCAAUUGAAUGUCUCUAAACAAAUAUUUGAACUAUCGUAUAUGAGAUAAAUUAUCACUGAUAAAAAAUUCAAAAUAAUUAUCAUAUGUGACACAAGUUAUAAAUAAUAGAAAUUUUAAAAAAAAUAUUUUAUACGGGAUAAGUUCUAACUAAUAUAAAUUUCAAACUAACUAUGAUAUAUGGGGCAAUUCUAAUUAUAAUAAAUGUUAAUUAUCAUAUACGUAAUAAAAUAACUAUCACUAUAAAAAUUUCAAAAUAAUCAUUAUGUUAUCCAAAAUACUUAUAAUUGAAAUGGCUAACACAAUUCAACUCUCCUUCUAUUUUUCAUACCUUCAAAUUCGAAUCAUGAAAACGCACAUGCAAUUUACAAGGCUAUAUCCCACUCUAUGUUUCACAAAAUGGAACAUAAGAAUUUAUAUACUGAUACAUUCAUAAAAAACAAAUAAAAAUGGCUAUAACCAAGAAUGUUUUUUGCUUCUCCAGAAGAUGCUGAAUGUUUUCACUAGCAACAUUUAAGUUAAGGAUCUGAAUUCCCUGUUGUAACUACUUUACGCAGUUACACACAAUAAACAAUCUCAGCCAUUCAAAAGCAAUUGGACGGUUCUGAUUAUCAGUAUAGUUUAAUCGCAGUUUUAAUCUCAGCCAUUUAUUGUUAAUCGGACAGUCGAAAUCCUUUUCCUAACAUUAACAUUGAAGAAUUGUCCAAUGAGACAAGCUACUAUAUAGUAUUGAAGUAUAAAAAUGACUGUAGCUAUCAGCAUCUAACCAGUUGUUAAACAAUGUUUUCUCUCAUCAUUGUAAUUACAUUAUAAUAAUAAAACUAAGAAACAAAAUGAUUGGCUGGUCAAAUCAUACCUUGUAACAUCAAAGGAUAAAAUAAUCAUUGAGUUGAGUUUUUGGUGAACAACUUUGAAAAGAUUUCAUCACAUGGUUGUCUGUUAGCAACUAGAUACAGUCAAACUAAACAAUACAAGUAGUAUAUUCCACAUCAAAUUGCAAUUUUUUCCCAUUCCAAUUUUUCCUUAUUUAACCCUUAGAUCUAGUGAUCAGCCACAACAUGAACAUAGUAAAAAAUUAUUACUGUAGUUUUGCUGGUUGCUAGAAUAUGAAAAGUAACUUGCCUUGUUUCCUAUGAUUCUGAAAAAACAUCUCCUAUACAUGAUUCUGAAUCAGCAGCCGACACUUCCAUGUUGUCGUAACCAGAUGAACUGUCAACAGUAGAAACUGCAUUACUUGAAUAAGCCUUGACACCGUGAAAGGACUCUCCGGCAACCAGCGCUUGUAGCAACUUAGGCGGUGGUGGAAGAGGCACCUCCACUAACCCUUCUAACAUUUUCACCACCGUACCCAUGGUAGGUCUCAUUGCCUCAUCAUCCUGAAUGCACCAAACUGCUACCAUCGCUACUCUCUUGACCUCCUCAAUGUUAUAUACAUUUCCAAGCUUCUUAUCAACCACAGCAGCCAUAUUAUCCUCGAUUAUCAGCUGUGCUGCCCACGGAGGAAAGAACCAUUUCUCCUCUGUCUCACAACCACUCUUUCUAUCACCAGACGAAGGUGGUGCCUCCACAUUCCGGCGACCGCUUAUGAGUUCUAGCAAUGUCAUUCCAUAGCUGUAAACAUCAGCUUUAGUUGUAAUUUCAACGCCAGAAAUCCAUUCCGGUGCUACAUAUCCCCAAGUGCCCCUCAUUGUUGCCAACACCCUACUGAAGUCCCUGCCAAUUAGCUUUGCCAAUCCAAAAUCAGAAACAUUGGCAGUGAAAUCACCAUCCAAAAGAAUGUUUUCAGGUUUGAUAUCACAAUGUAUAAUGCAACUUCUACAUUCCUCGUGUAAAUACGCUAUGCCUUUAGCAGUUCCAAUCGCCACUCUGAACCUAACAUCCCAACUCAAACAAGGCCCAUCCUUUCGCAGAUAAGCACUAAGGGCACCAUUCGGCAUGUACUCAUAAACCAAAAGUCGAUGCGCAUUCUCAGAGCAAAAACCUCUUAGCCUCAUAAGAUUAACAUGAUGAAUGUUCCCAAUCGUUGAAAUCUCGGCCCUAAACUCUUUCUCCCCACCUCCCGGCCUCUCCAAACGCUUCACCGCAACAACAGUAGAAUCACUCAACUCCCCUUUAAACACCGUCCCAAACCCACCAUGCCCAACUUUCUCGGAAAACCCUCGAGUCGCCAAUUGAAGCUCCUUGUAAGAAAACAACUUCAAAUUCAAAAUAGGAUCAAACUCAUUAUCAUUCUCUUUCUUCAAUCUCUUCCUCUUUAUCAACACCACCAAAGUCACCACCACCACACCCAAAACCAAAAACAAAACACACCCAAUUAUAACACCACUUAAAACGUUACCACUCAACCUCUUAAUCUUCCCCUCACCCCUGCCACCAGGAACCCUGACAUACAACACAUUCCCAUCACCACGACCACUCUCCAAAGCAGUUAAAUUUUGAAAAUCAAAAAGAGACCCAAAAUAACUCUUACAAAAGCCAUUCNNNNNNNNNNNNNNNNNNNNNNNNNNNNNNNNUUUUCAUCAAAAGACAAACCAACACAAUCACAAGAACCCAAGCAACCACUCUCACACAAGCUUUUAGAUUUAGCCGUAAAAGUACUCACAUUACCAAAACCAAACCUAACAGCACCUAAAUCUUCAAAACCAUCAUUUUCAUCACAAACCCUCUCCCCUCUCCAACAACCUUCCGAAUAAUCACCCGAACCCCAACCACCACCGUCAACCGCCACAAAACCCUUAACACACUCACAAACCCUCGACAUUUCCCCCGUACAAACACCAAACUUCCCACAAACACCCCGAACCGAACAAAUCGAUUCAGGCCUCGACCAAAACAUAUUCCACGAACCAGCCUGAUUCGACCAAGUAUACUGCCGAAUCUGACCAAACGGCUCCACACGAAACAUCGUAGGCGGUCUAACACCGUUAUCCAUCGUCCGUUCGGAGAAUCCAAACGACGCAGUCGGCAAAAACGCGUCUUUAAAAUCAAACCGAUAAAGAUAAGGAAUCAUCAUCUCAGGUACAUCACUAAAUGACCCACCAGUCCAAUUACCAGUAGACCAAUAAGAUACAGUUUCAUUGAAAACUAACUCAAAUUGACCAUAAUUCGGUGGUUUCAACCUUAAUGAAUAAAAACCAUUACUAGGGUUUGUUAAAGUCUUCCAUGAAAGUAAAUUAUGAACCCUAGUUAGAUUCAUACCUGGUAGCCACGUGUCAGUUGGUUCAUCAAAACUUUGCCAUAAAACGACACCGUUGUGAUUAUUAACAAGAAUGAAGUUACCAUUUUCUAAAAGCUUCGGUUGAAGUAUGGUGGUACUGGUUUUGUUGUUUGUGUUGAAAUUGGUUUUGGUUUGCCAUAAAACGACGGCGUUUUGAGUGAGGAGUACUAAUUGACCGGUUUGGGUUAAUUGAAGAGAUGAACCGGAAAGAGAUGAAAUGGGUUUGUUACGGUUUGCGACCCAAAUGAUGUUUGGUGAAGGAAGAGAAGUGAAACGGAUAACUAGAUAGUAACGAGGUUGUUGUUGGUUUUGGUUUUGUAAAUUUAAGAAACAAAGUUCAAAGGUUUGAUUUUGGCUUGAAAGGGUUUUGUUUGGUGUUAAAAUAAUGACAUUGGAGUUGUUGCUGUUAAUGGGUGAAGGAGAAGUGAAGAGAGUGAAGUGAGAUAAGAGAAAGAAAAUGAAAAUGAGUGACAUUAUUUGUUUUUUGAUGUUGUUAAGGUUAAGGUUAGUUGUUGUUCAUGGUUGUGUUUUGAGGUUGUCGGAGAGGAAAGAAAGAAAGAUAGGUUUGUGUUGUGUUGUGAGAGUUCUUCCCUCCCUACUAAAAUGGGAGGCAAUGGAGAUUGUGCUUUUUGAUAUCUUUUCUUUCUUUUUCUAAUAAUAAAUCUUCAAUUUUUCAAACUAGUACUUACAUUCAUACUUUGUAAUGUCCAAAUUAUCCUUCUACAUAUAUAGUAUAUUCAAUAUUCAAUAAAUUAGAAAUUAGAAUAAAAAUACGUCACUUUCAAAAAAAUAUUAGGUAAGUGCUACGGUGACAAAAUUUCUACAUUUGUUAGUCAAAAAAUAAAAAUAAAAAUUUUGUUCUCUUUGUCUCAAAUUAUAACUCUCUUUACACUAUACCAAUGAAAAAUUAAAUUUAUUUUUUCUAUUAUACUUUUAGUUAUUUAUUAUUUUUUCUUGUUUUAAUUAUUUAAUUUAUCAUUUCCAUAAUAUUAAUGAAGGAUAAUUUUGCAAAAUUACUUAUAAUUUUUCUUUUUUACACAAAAUUAAUUCCAUUUUAUAAUUUGUGUGAAAUGAUUAACAUGAUUUAUAAUUUGGGACGGAGUAAAUUUCUUUUUAUGAAUUUAGAAGUAUCAUAUUUGAGCUUUGUUAAUGUCGUUAAAUAGGGAUAAAUGUAAACAUAUAAGUUAUAUUUGAUCCUUAAAGUGUUUCCUGUUUUAAACGAGAGUAUAUAUUCUCUCAUUCUAAAUUUCUACCAACAAAAUAUAAUAAAGUAUCUUAAUAAAGUAUUUCAAAGACACUCUUUAGUUUUUAUUGUUUUAGAAUAAACGAUAAAUUUGACGGAGGCCGGUUCAUCAAUGGCCGGUUAAUUACAUCAUAUAUAUUUAAACACCUGAAAAAUUGUGGUUAAUUACAUUCAAUAUAGAUAGUUAGUGAAUUGCAAUAUCUUAUCAUAUUUAUUAAUUAUCUAUUGAACAUAAUUAAUCACAUAUAUUUAAAUUAUAUUAAACAUUUAAUUUGAUGUCAUAUUUUGUGUCAAAAUAUUUUUUUUGGUAGAUAUUGAUCUCUAUCGUCGUAUUUCUGAUAAAAUCAUGGUUGAACGAGACAGUUUCACUUUUAAGCGCGGUGAUAUAUGAACGUAUGCCACAAUUCUGUUCACAUUGUUGCUUCAUUGGACACAAUAUAUCUAGUUGUAGCUGGUUGCAAAAGUCUUCAGAGACUUUGGAUGUUCCUGAGCACGGCAAAAAGAUCAUUAACAUAAAAAAAGGAAGCAUUCAAGGCUACGAACUAUAUUCAUAAUCUUAGCAAUAUCAAUUAUGAUUGGCUUUUUUAACGAAUAUUGCAAACCCUCCAAUAUGUAGCCAAGAAAGAGGUGGUUUCUGGAUAUACUGUUACUAACUCGGUCAAGAGCGAUACCACGCAAACAGUUCCAGCACCUGCAGCUCAAAAUUCAGCUACUGCCAAAGCUGUUUUAAUUGAGAUUCAUGACAGCCUGAAGCCUUUGGUUGCUCAAAAACCAAUCAUGGCUGAUGUUUGUGAACAAAAACAGUCAAAAACACAUCCUAGCUUCAACUUCCUUUAAUAUGAGAUUGUGUGUGGGGGGAGGGGAUGUGGUUGUUGACGGAAAAAAACUUGGCAAAUGAAAACCAUGACCCGGUACUACAACCGAUUGACGAGGACGUGGUGACGCAAAUGAGCUAUAGGUGAAAGACAGGAAAUGAUAGGGGUGUCAACUAAGUUGGGAUCUACAUUGAUAUUUAAAUGCUCUUAAUUUAUUAAAAAAAUAAUAAAAAAACAAAUUGGUUGAAAUCAAGAAAAUUAAGAGGCUAAAAACGCAAAUCUUAAAAAGAUAGAAAAUAGAAUCUUUCCCUCAUUUGAUCUGCAUCAAAAUCGAAUGAAAGAGAAAAAAUAAUGCGAAACACACCCAGAUAUACCUUCUCCCCAAAUUAACUUGCAUUUCUUACAUCCCAAAGCAAGUUCAUCAUAAUUUUAAAGAAGCUACAAAUUGUAGCUAGCUUUUAACUUCAUACACAUUGAAGACAUUUUCAUUAAUUUAAAAAAAANNNNNNNNNNNNNNNNNNNNNNNNNNNNNAAAAAAAAAAACAAAUAAGCACUAAGUAAAAGGACAAAACUUAUAUGCAUCGUUUUAGGUGCAGUUUUUCUUGUUCCUCAAACAAAAAGAUAUUUUUUUUUUGUUUAUUUAAUUUAAAAAAAUAAAAAAAAAAACUGUUUUUAAAUAAAAAUAAUUAUCUUCUUGUAUCUAACACAGUAAAAACUGUGUAUAUGACACUGUACAUAUAAGUUUGGUCCGAAGUAAAAUACAUACAAAAUUGCUUUGGAGUUUUGAAAAGACAAAAUCUUAAUAUUUUAUUUGAAAAAUAUUUAGAUCAUUUGAAAGGUGUGAACUGUUUUAAUUUUUUUUCUUCUUUUUUUAAAUAACUAAAAGUCAGACUUCUAUAAACUAAACAAACUAAAUUAACUAUGUUAAAUCAACUUUUGUGUAAACAAGCUGUAUGCUAAUGAGUUUAAUCAUGCGGUUUAAAAAAUCACUUAAGAUACUUUUGGGGACAAAUUAAUGCUAAGAACUUAAUCUUAUGUAUAAAGGAUAUGAAAAGUACAACUCAAUGUAUUUUAAAAAUCACUUAAGAUACUUUUAGGGCCAAAUUAGUGAUAGAAAACUAAUGUCUAAAAAAAAACAUAACUUUUUGAGUAAAAAAGACAUAACUUUAUCAUCUAAUGAUCAUACAUACUGUAUUACUCGUAUAUAGGAUAUGAAACAAUGUUUGAAAAAACAUAACUUUAUUAACUUGAGUUGAGGAAGAAGAAAAAAUUCGAGUGGUCAAUUAUGGUCAUCAUGCAAUAUGAGAUAGUUAUUCCCCACAUCAAUCCUCAUAGAAAAAUGACCAUCUCUUUUAUUCCUCAAAAGAGCACAAAACUAUUGAUAUAUACCUUGUUUGACAACUAAUAUAUCUUGAUUAAAAUUUAGAUGUUUCUUAAUAACCUAUACUUUCAUCUUAGAUAUGAUUAGGAUUUGUUUUCCGUCCCAUAAGUUUCUGGAUUCGUCCCUAGACAUAAAACACUUGCUCGGUUUGAAAGAGUAUAACUUGUAAAACAAAUUUUAAGGAAGAAUAUGAAUAGACAUCUCAUUACAAAGAAAAUUUUAGAGUUACUAAUGACUUGUACAUAUUUUUAACACCAAUUUCUAAAGCAAGUCAUUACACGCAUGUCACAAUAUUUGGAUGGGAAAAUGGAGAAUUAGAGUUUGAAUGAAUUUAGAAGAAAGGGAUAAUUAUUAUAUUAACAUGGUUGGGUUUUCUUUUUUAUGACAAAUGGUUGUUUUUUAACAUGGGUUUUUUUAGAGAAAAGAAAAUAAAGAUAUGUAAAUUUUUAUCACUGAAUUAUAAUAGUGAAAAGAAAAUAAAAUAGACAAAUGGAUUUAAAACCUAAAGAAAAAUGAGAGCAAAGUGUUGAGGGGUAUUUUGGUACAAGACAAGUUGGAGAGAGGGAGAGUGAAAUAGUGGUGUGCAGGUGGCAGACAAAGGUACUCAAGUCUACUCAUCAAGCUAUCUAUUUUCAACGCAGGAAUGGGAAAAAUAAUUAAAAUAUAGGGUUCGAUGAAAAAGGUAAUAAUAUUUCUUUAAUAAAAAAGAAAUAUCUUUACUUAUUUAUAACAGAAAAACUUAAAUAAUAAAGCAUGUAAAGAGAAGGACCAUUAUUAAAAAAUGGGAAAAGAACAAGUGAAAGAAUGGACAAACAUGUUAAAGCAGACCCCAAAAGAUCAAUGAGGCCAAAACAAAAGCUUUUCACCACAAAAUCACUGUGGAUACUGCUUUUAAAAAACGAUUUAAUUUAUAUGCACCGUCAGUGUAAAAUUAUUUUACACAUGCAUCUAAUAAUAUACUGACACACCAUGUAUGGUAUUUAAAAACACAUGAUGUGUCACAUUCAUUAAAUAAUGUGGCAACGCAUCAUUGAAUGGAUGUGUAAAAAAUUUUUACACCGACAGUGCACAACAAUUAAACUAUUUAAAAAAAACUGUUUAUUUCAUAAAGACACAAAUGGUAUUUUAUUUGUCUAAAUGAUAAGAGUUUUAAGCUUUUUAAUUAGAUGAUUAGCGGUUUAAUUUUUGGUUUAUGGAAAAAAUUCAGUUGGAAGGAGAAAACACAACUUGUACAUAUUUUUUAAAAUUUUCAACGAAGAUUGGUCAUUACUAACGGUAGUAAAAAAUUCGUAUCAAUAUUGAGGUAAUCCAAAAAAAAAUAUUUGAGGGUUGAUUCAUAAAUUUUAUCUCAAUUGACAAUAUUAAUAUCGUUGGCCUGAACAUCUGAUAGUAUUAAUAGUUGUGGGAGUUUCAAUUCGAAUAUGAAAUUCUCCACUUCUUUAUACAUAAAAUGGUGUCAACUAUGUACAUUGCUACUUUAUACUACAUUAUCAAUGUAAAAAAAAUUAUAUAUAUAAUUUGUUGCUUAAUAUUUAUUAAGUUUAAAAACAUAUAACAAAAUUUAUUAAAAGUAAUAUAGCACUUUUAUCGUUUAAGAGGUGUCAACUCAAUAGUAAGAAUUUGAUUUUAAAAUUGAGUUUAAUUGAUAUGCACCGACGGUGUAAAAUAGUUUUACACCAUCGUCCAAUAAACAACCAUUAUUUUGCCAUGUCAUAUCAAGAAAGUGGGGUGAAGUGAGGUGAUGUGGCGGAAAACAUGGUUGAUAUUGGUUGACAGUUUAAAAUUAUUUUACACCGUCGGUGCAUAUCAAUUAAAUCCUUUAAAAUUUUAACUUUAAGAAACAUGAUUCAAAUCUCACUUAAAAUAAUUGUAAAAUGGUCGUAAUCGUAUUAAUAAUAAUUUUUCUUUCUCUGAUUUAUUUUUAAAGUCUUUUUAUAUAUAGUUUCCACAUAUAUAAAUUGAAUCAUAUUGCUAAUCGUUAAUACUUAGCCACAAAAAAUCUGAUUAUGAAAGUCUGUACCCUACUUACAUUUUCUUGAAAUCCCAGGUCCCAAACUUGUGGGGUGUAGCAUAUGGAACUUUUCAAAUCUGAGAUAUUCUCGUACAAAAAGAUUAUUGUACUAUACUAUUGUUAAUUAGGGAAGGUAGGUCGCAUUGGGAAGGAUUAAGACGAAAUUUAUAACAAAAUUAAUCAAAUUGGAUUGGAAGUGUGUUUAGUCAAAAAAAAGGAUAGAAGAGUACCAUUGUAGUGGCUAUAGCAACCUAUCAUGUGGGAAGGGUUAUUGUUGAAAUGAAUUGCAAAAGUGUGGGGACCUUGUCAAUUUUUCUCAUAAUGAUGUUACUAAAUUAGGAGUUUUUGUUGAUCAUUGUAAGAGGAUUUUUAGUAGUAAUCAAAACUUUGAUUUGAGGUAAAGCGGUUGAUUUAGUGGUAAUUGACGUUGUACUUGGUAAAAAAAAUUACUGUUUGAUUCCCGCAACUGCGAUCGGAAGGGGGCUGAAACAACUUGAUGCUAGACCUGACCACAGAACCAAAUUAGACGGUCAAAUGAGCCGAAUAUUGGUGAUAAAAACCAAAACAAAAACUUUGAUUUAAGGUUUAAUAGCAGGAAGGAAAUUAGGUUGUUCCUUGGUUGUAUUUAUAACUAGUCUCAAAGUAUUUUAUUAUCUCCCUUCAUAUAUUGCUACUUUAAAAAUGGAGAUUGGAAUAAGUUUUGCCAUUUUUUUUUACUAAAAUUAAACUAUAUUUAUUUGUUCAAAUCCAUAUAAUACAUUGAUAUAAAGAAUCUGCGGAUAAACUCACAACAUUCAUAUUAAUAACAUAAAAUAUAAAAUUACAUAAGCUUAAUACAAGUGUCACAUAGUGACCAUGUGCACUAUUCCCAUAACUUACUUUAAUAAUAUUUUUUUUAAAAUUAAUAUAUAAAGAAAAAUGUUACCCCCUCCGGUCCUUAAUGUAAAAAAGUAUUUACUUUUUAAAUACAUUGAAAAAUUGAUGUAUCUAGUCGAUAUAUAUAUAUAUAUAUAUAUAUAUAUAUAUAUAUAUAUANNNNNNNNNNNNNNNNNNNNNNNNNNNNNNNNNNNNNNNNNNNNNNNNNNNNNNNNNNNNNNNNNNNNNNNNNNNNNNNNNNNNNUAAGGAAAAAGUUUCCAUGAUUCCUUGGGCCUUGGCCAAGAAUUUAAGAAGGGAAUAAAAGGAAACAUUGUAUGGCUUUGAUAUGAUACAAUCACUGUUUGAAUUGGGAAAGUUAAUAGUAUAUUAAUAGUACAUUAGUACAACUAUUUGUAUCUGUUGAACUUAUUGUGUCGUUGGUUUAAUUCUCUAACUCACAUGCAGUUUGGAGUUUAGAGACCAAGACAAACUGUGCACACACAUGCACACAGAAAUCUGAAAUACAACUGCAACAACUACACUGUUUAGAUCUUUGUCAUCACAUUCAUUAACAAUGUUCAUAAGUAUCCUUUAAGCUCAGAAUUUAGCUUCUCUUAAGUGAACAAUUCACUUCAACGGUAAAGUAGUAUAUAAUCUUAACUGUAUCUUAACUGUUGGUGAGAAAAUCUUGUGUUGUUAGUCCUAGAUAAAGCCACGUAGCAGCGACCCUCUAAAAUGCUAUAGCAGCUUGGGGCCGCAACAACCACUAUUGUUGUGCUCACAAGCCAAAAGAAUCGCGCCGAACCCUACCACUGCCAUGCUAUUCCGCUAUACCGCGUGAUUGACAACAUAGAGAAAAUCAACAAUUGAUAUUCCACACGUGUGCAUAUGACAUCAACAGAUGAUUUAUUCAUGAAGUGGUUAAAUGCUAUGAAGCACGCACAAACACUCUUCGAAUUAUCGAAACAUAUAGUUACAUUGAACUAUGUCAUUUUCUUAAAAUUAUUAUCAGUGUAGACAUAUCAAGUGUUCGUGUCGUGUCCAGUGUCAUAGGCUAAAUGCAUACAUGGUCAUUGAACAUACAGUAAAAGAUGGGAUCCAAGCUUCCAGCAUAAUAUAUACAUUGAAAAUGUAGAAAAUAUAAUAAAAUGUAAAGGCAUUAUUUACAAGACCAGUAAACAUUUGGAUUUUCAACAAACAAAAUAAUAAGCAUAGAAAAAGAAAUAAAUAUGAGCAAUUUGUACAAGAAAAUAGAGAGCAAAAAAGCAAUAAAGGCGAGAAAAAACCAUUCCGUGAAUAUGAAUUUCUUCCAACAUGAGUAAUUGCAGUCACUGAGACAUGCAAAGUGGUGCAGCAUUCUAUCAAAAACCUCCUCAUCUUUCUUACAGAUUGUAUACAUAAUGAAUUUGACCUAAUAAAAAAGACCUUUUUUAAGAACUUGUAGAUUUGAAAGUGAAUCAACAAUACCAUCAUCAAACCAGUUAUCCUUCAAGUGUUUAGCUAGCUUUUCUUUUGAGAUAACCAAACUAGUCCAAUGCCUCAUCAAAUAUCAUCUCCUGUAACAUAAGAGAAAGAAGAGUAUGGUAAGACAGAUUAUGGUUAACAUUUAACAACCACCAAUAAUUCACAUCUAGCAGAAACUGCUUGAGUUCGUUUGUCAACAAAAGAAGCCAAAAAACACCAUCUUGUCUAGGGUGUAACAGAGCAGUUUUGUUCAGUUUUUGGGAGGAAAAAUAUCCAAACCAAUUCAAAAUAGUUGGUUUGUUUGUUUUUGGCAAUAUUUUCACACGAAAAUAAAACCAAUGAAGUUGGUUUGGCUUGAUUCAAUCAGGUAGAGUUUUAGAAAAUUAAGAAACUUAUUUUAUAAAAUCUAAAGAAAAAUAACACUAUAUUCAAACCCGAUACAUUUUUAUACUAUUAAAACAAAUACAUUAAAGUCCCCGUGAGCUUAGCUCAGUUGGUAGGGACAUCGCACUAUAUGUGCAGGAGCCCGGGUUCGAACCCGGGACACUCCACUUAUUCACCUUUAAGGUGGAUUUUCUAGCCAUUAGGCUCCUUGACCCAAAAAACAAAUGCGUAGAUACAUCAUAUUUUUUAUAACAACACUACUAAUAUAGUGCGAAAUAAAAGAAUUACAUAUAGAAAUAUAAUGGUUUGAUUUGGAUCUUGGGUGAUCGGUUUUGAAUGACGUGAAACUAAUAGCCAAAUCAAUAGAGGCUAUGUUUGUAUAGUUUGGACACAAACAUGUAAAAAAAAAAAUCAAACCAAUUUAAUUGGUUUGUAUUGGAUUUUCGAGUUCAUCGGAUAAUUGGUUUGGUUCUUACAUCCCUACUUUUUUCAUGGUACAGUUAACAAGAAAGAUUAAUGUAAAAUGACAAACCUGAUCACAUAUAGGACAAGAGUCACUUCUUUCCAUCCACUCAAGAAUGCAAGCUAGGUGAAAGUGGUGUUCACAUUUUGUAACAGUUUUAGGAUUCUCAACAUCAUAUUCUGCAUUAAAAACAAACUCAAAUUAUAGUUUCCAGUUAGAAUCCCUCGUGCAAUCUUGUCGUCUGUUAAAGCGUAUGACGGUAUAAUAGCAAUUUGUUUAAAUUUCGCUACCCUAUAGCCGUUAUUUAACAACACUGAUCUGAAGCAAGAAAAAUAUAAAUUUUAAAAAUAACUUCUACACACCUUCAAGGCAAAUUGGACAGCCGUCCUCUUCUUCUAUCACCAAUGAAUGAGGUUCAUUUGAUUUCCACAGUUCUGCUUUGCUUGGAGAUAUUGGUGCAGAUUUAGCUUGAGCUUUAGGGUCAGAUUCUUCAAUAUNNNNNNNNNNNNNNNNNNNNNNNNNNNNNNNNNNNNNNNNNNNNNNNNNNNNNNNNNNNNNNNNNNNNNNNNNNNNNNNNNNNNNNNNNNNNNNNNNNNNNNNNNNNNNNNNNNNNNNNNNNNNNNNNNNNNNNNNNNNNNNNNNNNNNNNNNNNNNNNNNNNNNNNNNNNNNNNNNNNNNNNNNNNNNNNNNNNNNNNNNNNNNNNNNNNNNNNNNNNNNNNNNNNNNNNNNNNNUGGUUCUUACAUCCCUACUUUUUUCAGGGUACAGUUAACAAGAAAGAUUAAUGUAAAAUGACAAACCUGAUCACAUAUAGGACAAGAGUCACUUCUUUCCAUCCACUCAAGAAUGCAAGCUAGGUGAAAGUGGUGUUCACAUUUUGUAACAGUUUUAGGAUUCUCAACAUCAUAUUCUGCAUUAAAAACAAACUCAAAUUAUAGUUUCCAGUUAGAAUCCCUCGUGCAAUCUUGUCGUCUGUUAAAGAUUGCAAAAAACAGCAGAAUGUUUAAAUUCUGCUGUGCCAUAGCGCUAGCCGCUAUUUGACAACACUUUGUACUAAAAAGCGUAUGAUGGUUAAUAGCAAUUUGUUUAAAUUUCACUACCCUAUAGCCGUUAUUUAACAACACUGAUCAGAAGCAAGAAAAAUAUAAAUUUUAAAAACAAUUUCUACACACCUUCAAGGCAAAUUGGACAGCCGUCCUCUUCUUCUAUCACCAAUGAAUGAGGUUCAUUUGAUUUCCACAGUUCUGCUUUGCUUGGAGAUAUUGGUGCAGAUUUAGCUUGAGCUUUAGGGUCUGAUUCUUCAAUAUCUUUAUCUUCUGUAAUUAAAGUUUCAAAACUACUACCACUAACAACAGUGUCUUUUCCUGACUCAGAGUCUGUCGACGCUGUACCUCCCAAGACCACAUCANNNNNNNNNNNNNNNNNNNNNNNNNNNNNNNNNNUAUAAUACAAUCCAUCCAUAAAAAAGUUGUUUUAACUCCCAAGAAAUCUUUGGCAAAGAAGUUGCUCCCUUGUACUCAUUCUUAUCAGAGCAUAAUAUUGACAAAAAGUUAAGUCCAAAUACAAAACUUACAAAUUGGAAGCAAGUUACAGAGUUUAUUUCACUUUCUUGCCAUCACAAAAUUUUUGUAAGAAAUUAAACAAUCAAUAAAAUAUGACUCACUUGAACUUAUUAAACGGGGAUCAAACAUUAAUUUUAAGCUAUCUUCCAUCACUCUCAUCCAUUCAAGCAAUGAUUUUUUGGGAAUUAUUUUAUUUUUCAAUUAAGUGACAACUCCAAGGGUCGUCUUUCUGGAUCACUCCUUCCAGGAGUAAUAUUGACUUUCAAGUUUCAAUUCGGUUUAUGAGAAUACAUGGAGAAAAAAAAAACAAAGGAAAAUGAUAAUAGAAGUGGUGAGAAUUGCAGCAAUUUUUGUGCAAGCCUGCAUUAAAAGUUUUUAUCACAAGUACCUUACACAUAAUGCAACAGUGCUAUUAUGAUUUCUUUCGAAAAAUGAGUAUGUUUUCGAACAUAGUUCCACUUUGACAUUUGCAGGACAAAAUCAUAUUGUAAGGCUUCGAUGAAUACAUUACAUCCAAUUUUAAAAAAAUCUAUUUCUAAUUCACAACAACGGCCUUUGACAAGCACUUCAUGGCAUUAGUAUAUUAAGUUUGAAUAGAACAACCAUGAUGUGAAGAUUAAAAUCUCAGCUGUUUCAUCUAUAACAUUAAAAUAGCGACCUUUGUAAAUGAAAUAUGCAGAGGUCAGAUCUGGUUAACAUGCUUAAUCCCCAUUCCCCAAUGGAAACUAUUUAGACAGCUUCAAACAACACGUUGACUGUGAAAUAGUUUGAAUUUUCCUUUAACAAGUAAACAUAAUUCAUGACAAUUAUACAAGCUAGAUGAGUGAGACUGUUGAAAGUUUGGGUGGCUAAGCUCUGUAACGGUGAGUAUGAGACCAGUAUUUCGUGCAUUAUGUAACCUUAUCAUUUAGCAAUUGCAUUUUGGUUGUUUUUCACAAAACAAUGAACCACAUCAUUUUAGCCAUGUCUAGCUAGGGAAAUAUAACAUUUUUUUUACAGGUUCAGUCAUUUGCAAACUCACGAUUCUAUGCAAGUCUACCCAAGUUUACACAAACUUUAUAAGCAAGUUGACUCAAUUUUGAUACCUAGAGUCAUAAACACAUACAACUCUACGACUUAAAACUAUAAUGUGAUAAUCAUGAAAGUAGGGAUACUUUUGUUUUCUGUUUUUUCAUGUCAUAAAAGGACUCGUGAAUUAAAAGAUAUAUAAAAUAAGAGAACUUAAGGAGAAUACAGUACAUGCAAUAUUCACUUAGCAUCAAUAUGUGCACUAUCUUCCACCAUAAACAUAUCUUCAUUUAGAAUGGUAAACGGGUUUGUGACAUAAACUAAAGUGAACUCAGUGUUGCCAAUUGUGGAUCACGGAAAAGAGCAGAUUGUUUAAAUUCUGCUACGCAAUGGUGCUAUAGCAUUAGCUAGCACCUCUACUUGACAAUAUUUUGUACUAAAAAGCGUAUUGUGGAACAAUAGCAAUUUGUUCAAAUUUUUCUAUGCUAUAGCCGCUAUUUAAAAUACUGAGUGAACUUGCUAGAUAGAUGCUUGUUAGAUACCAUAUAUCUAUUUUCAUUGAGCAAGGCCAAAGGGUUCAUUAAUAUGUAGCACUGACACUUCAGAUCGAAGGUGUGUCCAGUGUUGGACAGGUUUCAGUGUACCCCGAUACAUGCAGUUACAUUCAAUAAUUUUCAUUUUCUCAAAUUAUUACCGAUGACUAUGUUAGUAUCGUGUCUAGUGUUCAAGUUUGUGUCUUUGUCGGUACUUCAUCAUGACAUAAACUAAUAGUGACAUUACUAGAUAGAUUCUUAAUAGCUACCAUAUACAUACUACAUAAGCUACACAUCAGAUAAGAGAGGAUAUGAAAUUACUAACAUAGUAAUACACCGGAGUUCCAUGCAGAUGAGGUUUUCUGGCAGAGCAACAGCAACCUCCCAUUUUUCAAGCAAUUCUUUUCAGUUAUUUAAUCAAACCUACCAGCAACAUUUUCACUCUCUUCUGUUAUUUAGGAUCAAAAGUGGAUCAGAAGCCACCAAAUUUUACACAUCUAUUCUGCAAUCACAAAUAUAAAAUGAGUAUUUACUAAUAUAUUUCUCAUUAGAAUGGACUUAAAAAUAUAUCGCAUAAAGCCAUUGCAUCAAAGACAAUUUGAAUAGUGCAAACAAACACAAUGUGAAAUCAUUAAUCACACGUUUAGGGUAAGCCACCUAUGAAGCACCAACACAUACACCAGACACAACACUGACACGAGUAGUAAUUUAAGAAGAAAAAAUUGAAUGUAACCAUGUGUCGGUGUCAGACACGCCGUUAAUUUGAAGCUAUGAAGCACGGACGCUUCUCAGAUUAGGCGUGUCCCAGUGUCACAUAUGCGUCGGUAUCCAACACCAACACGACACCAAUACACAUGAUUACAUUGAAUUACUCCCUCUGGUAAUUAUUAUAAGAGAAGUUUUACUUUUUAGGUUUAUUGAAAAACUAAUGUAUCUCAUCUGGAUACAUUGAAAAACUAACUAACGUAUCCGGACUAUAUCCAUUACAAAAAAACGUAUGUGACUAUAUUUUAGUCCAAAUACAUUAGUUUUUCAAUAAGCUAAAUAUAAGAAUCGGAAAGCCUUAUUUCCUUAAAUCAGUUACAAUUCAAUAAUCCAAAUUCAUGAUCAUCCCAAUUACACAAAAUUAGAAAAAGAAAACAAAUCAUACACCAAACAAUCCACAUAANNNNNNNNNNNNNNNNNNNNNNNNNNNNNNNNNNNNNNNNNNNNNNNNNNNNNNNNNNNNNNNNNNNNNNNNNNNNNNNNNNNNNNNNNNNNNNNNNNNNNNNNNNNNNNNNNNNNNNNNNNNNNNNNNNNNNNNNNNNNNNNNNNNNNNNNNNNNNNNNNNNNNNNNNNNNNNNNNNNNNNNNNNNNNNNNNNNNNNNNNNNNNNNNNNNNNNNNNNNNNNNNNNNNNNNNNNNNNNNNNNNNNNNNNNNNNNNNNNNNNNNNNNNNNNNNNNNNNNNNNNNNNNNNNNNNNNNNNNNNNNNNNNNNNNNNNNNNNNNNNNNNNNNNNNNNNNNNNNNNNNNNNNNNNNNNNNNNNNNNNNNNNNNNNNNNNNNNNNNNNNNNNNNNNNNNNNNNNNNNNNNNNNNNNNNNNNNNNNNNNNNNNNNNNNNNNNNNNNNNNNNNNNNNNNNNNNNNNNNNNNNNNNNNNNNNNNNNNNNNNNNNNNNNNNNNNNNNNNNNNNNNNNNNNNNNNNNNNNNNNNNNNNNNNNNNNNNNNNNNNNNNNNNNNNNNNNNNNNNNNNNNNNNNNNNNNNNNNNNNNNNNNNNNNNNNNNNNNNNNNNNNNNNNNNNNNNNNNNNNNNNNNNNNNNNNNNNNNNNNNNNNNNNNNNNNNNNNNNNNNNNNNNNNNNNNNNNNNNNNNNNNNNNNNNNNNNNNNNNNNNNNNNNNNNNNNNNNNNNNNNNNNNNNNNNNNNNNNNNNNNNNNNNNNNNNNNNNNNNNNNNNNNNNNNNNNNNNNNNNNNNNNNNNNNNNNNNNNNNNNNNNNNNNNNNNNNNNNNNNNNNNNNNNNNNNNNNNNNNNNNUCAACUCGAAUAUUUUUGUUCACUCAGGUGAAUGUGUUUGGUAGAACAAGAAUGUAUCAUAUCAUCAAGAUGAUGCGGUAGUAAAGUAACUCUUUCGGUGAGGUGAGAAAUCAGAGUGCUGUACUAAUUACUACCUAACAUAAUUUUAGGACAUAAAUCAUAUUCGGACAUUAAAAAUUGAUGAUUCCUCACAUUAAUUUUUUUUUUAAGUAAGAGUCUCGUGAGCUUAUCUCAGUUUAUAGGACAUUGUAUUAUAUAUGUAGGAGUCUGGAGUUUGAAUGACAAAUUUCUAGCCACUCGAUUAUUUGUAGGAAUAUAUCUUUAGACGAGAUAUCUUUCGGUAGUACAAAUUUUACCAAUAUAUAUCUUCCAAUGUAUAAAACAUAAAAGAGAUAUUUUUUUUGUGUGUAAAUUUUACCGAAAUAUAUCUUUCGAUAAUAUAAAUCUUAAAGAAAAUAUUUUCUGAUAAUUUUUUUAAAAAAAAUUUUAAAAAAAUAUCUCCCAAUAGUGUUUUUUAAUGUGAGCAAUUCAAGAAGUGAAGAACAACAAAAAAAAAAAAAACUCAUAAUCAACCCUACAAUAUCAUAUUCCUUGUUUUAGUUAUUCAUUCAUUAACCUCUCUUAAAAACAAAUUGUGUCGCAUUUGUUGAUUAGAACACUGCUACAUGUACAAAGAACACUGACUCAUCAAUUAAAUAAAUAAAAAUAGCAAUAAAAGCCAAAAAUGUUGAGACUAAUUUUAAAUUUGAUAAAUGUGAAAAUUCUUUUCACCUUAUUCAACCUAUGGAAGUUGGAACAUUAACCUUCUCCAAGGUGUCGAAGUAGUGGAACUCCUAAGAAUAUUAUUGAGUUAAGUUCUCCCUAUCACUUCUAAAUCUAAUAAUAAUGUUGAUAUACCUUACAUACAUAAUCAAGACAAACUUUCAAGGAGACGUUGUUAUGAGGUGGAGGACCAUAGAUCGAGAUAUCUAAUUGUUAAAUAUGUCUGUAUCAAUAAAUUGUCUAAAUCCUUUAAUAAUAUUUCAAAUGAGAUCUCGUCACUUAGUAUUCUUAGCAAUGUUGAAGACGAUCUUCAACAUUGUAGACAUACUAAAGCUAUGAAUGAAUAAAUUCAGACCAUAGACAAGAACACAAUAUGGACUCUUAUUCCUUCACCGAAAGGAAGAAAACGAAUAUUAUGUAAAUGAGUAUUCUCUAAAUAUUUAAUGUGUUGGUAUUAUUAAUAAUAUAUAACAAUUUUACCGAAUUAUAAUUAUUUACAUGUAAUGUUUUGGAAGUGAUAUGCACUUAGUGGAUGACCUAAUUAACAUUAUUUACAUGUAAUGUUUUGGAAGUAAUAUGCACUCAGGAGAUAAGAUAAUUUGAAAUAAAAUAAUAAUUUUACAUUAAAAAAUAUAAAUACUUUUAUAAUAAAUCAUUUUCCUAAACUAACAUUCAUUUAAAAACGGGGAAUGAAUAUCUAAGGAAAAAAAACAUUACAAUCCCAUUAUCAAUUUUACUUUUUUUUUUCAUCCUUUCACCACUAGUUUAAUCUGUUCGAGGUUCAGUUCUGGCAUCAAGUGGUUCUAGCCCUCUUCCGAUCGCAAUUACGGGAUCGAACCGUUAUCCUCUAACGAUAAGUCAUAGUGUAUUUAGAGGUGUCAACCUUUUUAUGUUUUUUUAGUGCCUUCAACUUAUGCUCAGUAAGCUCCAUUUCAAAAAGCAGCUCUCUUUCCCUCCAUUCCCUUUCUCAUUCUUCACAGAAUGCUUCUGUUUCUCUUCUCACCAACCACAUCCAUGGAACUCCAUAAGCAGACUCAGAGCUUCUAUGCCAAUUCCUGAUCAAACCCAUUUCAAAGACCCUAACAUAGUUCACUUGUUCUGUUCCAAAGCCCUCAAAAUCUCAGCCAAAAAGGGCUAUCUUCCUGAAGGAAAACAGUUACAUGCCCAUUUGAUAAAGUUUGGCUUUUGUCAAGUGCUUUCAUUACAAAAUCAGAUUUUGAGUGUUUAUCUUAAAUGUAAAGAAACUGAGUAUGCAGAGAAACUGUUUGACGAAUUGCCUGUGAGAAAUGUUGUGUCGUGGAAUAUUAUGAUUCGCGGUAUUGUUGGAUCAUGUGCCUAUGAAAAGGGAUCAUAUCGUAUUGAAGUUUGUUUUUCUUAUUUUAGAAGGAUGUUGUUGGAAAUGGUAGUUCCUGAUUAUAUAACUUUUAAUGGUUUGAUUUGUUUAUGUGCUGAGUUUCAUGAUAUUGAGAUGGGAAUUCAGUUGCAUUGUUUUACUGUGAAAGUUGGAUUUGAUUUGGAUUGUUUUGUUGGUUGUGCUCUUGUUGAUUUAUAUGCAAAAUGUGGUUUUGUUGAGAUUGCAAGAAGGGUUUUUUGUGUUGUUCCAUUUAGAGAUUUGGUUAUGUGGAAUGUGAUGAUUUCAUGCUAUGCCUUCAAUUGUUUACCAGAAGAGGCUUUUAGAAUUUUCAACUUGAUGCGGUUGGAUGUUGCAAGUGCGGAUGAGUUCACUUUUAGUAGUUUGCUUAGUGUAAUAAGUGAUGAUGCUUUAGAAUAUUAUGAAUUUGGAAAUCAAAUUCACAGUCUUGUUCUGAGACAGUCAUUUGAUUCAGAUGUUUUAGUGGCUAGUGCUUUGAUCAACAUGUAUGCUAAAAACAAAAAUAUAAUCGACGCACGAAGAGUAUUCGAUGAGAUGUUGUUUCGAAAUGUUGUGGCUUGGAACACCAUAAUUGUCGGGUGUGGAAAUCACGGUGAUGGCAAUGAGGUUAUGAAGCUUCUCAGAGAGAUGCUUCAUGAAGGGUUUCUUCCCGAUGAACUGACUAUUUCCAGCAUAAUUAGUUCAUGUGGCUAUGCUUCUGCCAUUACUGAAACACUGCAAGCGCAUGCCUUUGCAGUUAAAUUAUCAUGUCAAGGUUUUUUAUCCGUUGCAAAUUCUUUGAUCAGUGCUUACUCCAAGUGUGGUAGCAUUACUAGUGCAUUCAAAUGCUUUGAAUUAACUUCAAAGCCUGAUCUUGUUACAUGGACUUCAUUGAUAUAUGCAUAUGCAUUCCAUGGUCUUGCAAAAGAAGCAACUGAGAUGUUUGAGAAGAUGCUAUCUUGUGGCAUGAAACCAGAUCGAAUAGCUUUUCUCGGUGUUCUCUCAGCUUGUUCUCAUCGCGGGCUAGUGACAAAGGGACUUCACUACUUCAAAUUAAUGACCGAUGUGUAUCAUAUUGUUCCUGAUUCAGAACAUUACACUUGUCUUGUUGACCUGCUAGGAAGAUAUGGUCUUAUAAAUGAAGCUUUUGAAAUCUUGAAAUCAAUGCCAAUCGAAGCUGAAUCAGAUACCUUAGGAGCAUUUAUUGGAUCUUGUAAACUACAUUCAAAUAUCGGAUUGGCUAAAUUAGCUGCAGAAAAACUCUUCAUCAUCGAGCCAGAAAAGAGCGUAAACUAUGCAGCAAUGUCUAACAUUUAUGCUUCACAGAAACAUUGGUGUGAUGUGGAAAGAGUUCGAAAAACGAUGGAAGAAAAACACGAUACAAAAGUCCCAGGUUAUAGUUGGAUAGAGAUUGGUAAUCAAGUUCAUUCAUUUGUAUCCAAUGAUAAAUCACACCCUAAUGCUUUAGAAAUGUAUGUUACAUUGAACAUGCUGCUAAGGUCAAUGAAGGAACAAAAUGGUAUAUAAAUUUGUAAAUGUUAACAUCACAUUAACAUCAUGAUCCAUAUCUUGUGUACUAAGUACUAACAUGAAUUAUUAUUCAAUGCUUUGCUUCAAAGAUGCAUACUGUAAGUGAUGGUUUAGCUAUCAGUUAUCAUGUUUGAACUAACUUGGUAAAAAAAUCUCUACCUUGUGCUAUUGAGCAAAAGCCUUAGAUACAUAUUACUUGUUAUGUAAGUAAUAAUAUAUCUAAAGUUUCUUGCUGGUGUUGUUUUUCCUAAGCUACAAUUAAAGCCAUGACAAUCAUAAUUAUCUAAAUCAUUGAACCUAACAGGAGUAGUAAUUUUAUUUUAAAUUUAUGAUAUUCAACAUCUUAUCAGAAGGCAACAGUUAAUUAACUUCUAAUUAAAGGUACACUGAUUGAUCUUUUCAUUUGAAUUUCAUUUUUUCUUUCUCAAUAGGUGCAAUUGACAGGCCACCUUGAAUACAAAGUAGUAUCCUAAUAACCACAAUCAUAUAUUUCUUUUGAAAUUUUUUUUUUAAAAACAUUCUUUCAAUUUUCAACCACAUUUAUUAUUUCGUUACCUACAUACUCUUAAUUAUUUUACCUCUUUUUUUUUUUGUCAAUAUUUUAUUAUUAUGACAAUGAUUAUCAACAAAACGCUUAAUCGACACAUCUUCAUCAUUCACGUCAUCUUUUUUGAACAAGUCAUUCACGUCAUCUAAUAACGAGCAUUGACAUAAGGAUGAAUAUGAGAAAUGUUUUACAAAGUCGUUUUAUUAUUAAUAAGGAUCUUCGACCCCUUAAAUAAGUGGUUAGAUGUUCAAUUUUAAACUUUUGUUAAUAUAAGUGGUUAAAUGUUCGAUUUUAAACUCUUGUUAAUUUAUAGAAAAAAGUUCAGUCAAAAUGCGGUGGAAAUUCAGUACCAAUAAAAUGGUAAUAGAAAACAUAAUUUAGCAUCAGUCAUUCCUUAACUAGUACUGUAUAUGUAUAAACCGUUAAAAAAAUAUCUUUACAUAAUUGAGAAUCAAAUUGAAAUAUUGAUAAAAUUAGGAUGAUUUUGAUAGUUUAUAACCAAUAUUGAAGAGACUAAUUCAACUAUUCAUGUUCAAGUGAUACACAUAAGCACGCGUAUGUUUUCUUCUUUACAAAUACAAUACAACUAGAUCUUUUGUUUGAAAAGUCUUCUUCAUAUCAUAUAUAAUAUACCAUACUAUAGUUCUAUAUAAGGAAAACAAAAAAUGCAAUAGAAAAUGAUUAGUCAAUAUUCUAAAUCGUACUUUUUGAAGCAAGCACAGAUACAAUACAACUUGCAAACCUUAACUUUCACGGCGCAUUAUAGCAUCACCCNNNNNNNNNNNNNNNNNNNNNNNNNNNNNNNNNNNNNNNNNNNNNNNNNNNNNNNNNNNNNNNNNNNNNNNNNNNNNNNNNNNNNNNNNNNNNNNNNCACUUUUAUAUAACAAAAACUAAAAGUCAAGUCGUUGUAACUACAAAUUUCUGUUGACGCAAACACUUUCUCUCUCUAACUUCUGACCGCCAAUUUUUCUCUCUCUAAAAACCAUGACUACAACUUUUGUUCAUAACCGGAGCCAACACUCCGGUCACCGAAGUACGCCGGAUAAUAUGUCCCGUUCUUCUGAUUUCAGCACUUCACAUCACUCAACAACUUCCUCAUCGUCUUCUUCCGGUAGCCGGAAUCCAGUUAUUGCCGCCGCCAUGUCGGUUGCUGGAUUGUUUGCUGCUUGUUUCACGCCGCCGGAUGCUAAUAAUUCUAAGAGCGUUGUUGAUUCUGAGGAGCUCAAAUCUACUAAUUCUGGUUCUGGUAGUUAUUUUCAUUUUUUCUUAUCCUCUUUUAUUUUUUAUUUUUAUUUUUGUGAACAAUAAUUGGGUGAAAAUUAGCUACUAAUACUAUUUCCUUUUUGGAUAAUGUGUGUAUUUUUUUGUUCUUGUUGUUUUUGGAUCUAGGAGAUUUUGGUUAGUGAAUCCAAAAGUUUUGUUUUUAGGAUCUCUUAUACUAUUGGAAAAACCAAGUGCCACGUGGAAUAAACAUAUAGCAUGAGUAGAGUUUCUAAGGAGUGGAACUUCUAGUUCUCGUCUUAUAAGUCGAUUUUUAUAAAAAUAAAUUAUAUUUAAUAUAAAAAAUAUAAUGUUGAUAUGAGAGUCUAUCGAAAUUCGGGUUAUCCACCAUUUAUAUUCACGUACCUGGGUCAAGAUAAUUUGAAUUGGAAUUUAGAAUUUGGAUCUAAAUCAUGAAAUAAGAAAUGUAUCUAGAUCACAAAAUCAGAAAUGUUCAAAAUUGUUGUUCAACACCGUAUUUAUGUACGGUUCGGAUAAGUUUGUAUUUAGUUCUAGCUCACUAAAUUAUGUGAUGUCGUAUUUUAAGAAUCCGGGUAAGUCGUAGAAUAUAAAAAAUAAGAGAAAGGUA
rnacentral:lncRNA from 1 species